rnacentral:lncRNA from 1 species
GGGGUGUGGGUAGCAGAUGCGCAUAUGUAUUGUCAUGUCUUUGGCGAGCGCCUGGACCAUUGAGCGUGCCGUUUCGUAUCCCCGCGUGCCCACCGGCAGGCUCUCAUCGCCAUUGGUGAGCCGCUGGGCAGCAUGGUCAAUGGCUGCGUGGUCCCGGGUGAGUAGGUCCUCAGGGGUAGUGCGCGUGCUGGUUUCUGCAAUGCGUGCGCGUUGCGCUGCAUGUUUUGUAACGCGCCGUGCGCGUGUAUCUGGUUUUGUCGUGGCCGGCGUGUUUUGGCCGGCUUGCGGGCUGUGGCGCUUGCGGGCUGUGGCUGGGGGCCGUCGGGAGGGCUGCGUUGCCCCAUCGGCGGGGACUUCCGGUGCCGCAGCAGGGCCUUGUGCGCCGGGUUGGGCCUCCUGGGCUUCCCCUACUGGGGAGGGGGGGGGGGGCGGUUCGGCUGGGGCUUGCGUAGUGUUUGCUUGGGCGGGGGCCGCCUCGGGGAGGGGCUGGAGGAACCGCUCGAGGGGGUUGGCCAUUCCAAGAGGGAGGGGGUCCGCCCUCAUGGCUACGGCCACGAUUGCGGCCACGUCAGGCAGAGUGCGCUGUGCGGUGGUUAGGGGGGGGGCAUGGCUGCCGAUGGCUGGAGCGUUUUCCCCUGCACGUCCAGCCAUACUGAGAGCAAGGCUAUCAGGAGCCAUGGGCGCCGAGGUAAACGUGGCGGCAUCAUUGAAGGACAAUCUUCGGGGGGGGGGGGUGCCGUCGAGUGGGCUCCUCGUCCGUGGGACAUGCUUUGCACGCAUGGUGCUGUCGUCGUGCUCAUCAGACGCAUGAGCUGUAAUGCGCAGUCUGUCCCCUAACCACGCAGUGUAGGGGGAGGCUGGCUAGGGGUCGCUGCAUCUUUGUAAGGGGCCGGGGCAUGUCACGUUCGGGCGCGGCACAUUCGUCACUGAUGGCCGGGAAGGGCGAGGUAUGGCGCAGUCUUGUUAUUGGCCUGCGGUUAUCGGCCACAAGCUGCACAUGCCCGCGCUUCGGUGCGCAUUGGGCGCGGCUGGUUUAGGGUGACCCGCCGAAGGAACCGACGAAGGGCGCUGACACGGCAGCUGGCGGGAUGUACUCCGCCGCCGCUGCGGUGUCGUCCACGCCCUGCUUGUGCCUCAUUUACGUGCGCGUGUUCUACGGGGGCUGUGCUGUAACGAGUUACGAUUGCCUCAUAUGGGGCGAUCUGGUGGUGGGGGGGCUCGUCAUUUUAUCGAGGCAGGGCAUUAACCGGGGCUGCUAUAGUUUGAGCACCUGCCGGUGCAUUGCCGCCACUUCAUACGGUUCGAACAACGGCCAAACCGCCCCACGCACACCAGCUUGCAACAGCGCUGUUGCGUUUCGACCUGCUUUCGACCCGCGCCCGCUCCAGCUGCCGCCUUUGCUGCUGCAUCCUGCUGGAGCUCUGCUGUGCGUCUGCUCGAGAUGCAGCAGCCCAGCCGGUGAGACGGGCGCUUGAGCGUUUGCGGGGGGUGGCGCUUUGUUUCGGCGGCAGCUUCCCGGGACAGUUGCGACUCCUGGCGCGUUUGCUGCUGCACGGUGGUUGUGCUGCUGCUUGUGAUGGCUGGCCCUACUUGUGUAAGAGCGGUGCUGCGUCGGGGCGCUGACUCGACUUCGCACUUUUCCCGCCCCUUUCCUGCUGCGAGGACCGGCAGGCGUUGACCUUGGGCCGGCUGAGGUCAAGAUGACCUCCGCCGACGCGUACCACAUGCUAGCGUUGAUGAGCGUGCUGGCGGCCACCGGAAAAGCCGCGGCCAAAAUCCAUGAGGUCAUUAAGACCGUCGGCAAUGAGCUAGGCACUUGCAUUGGGGUGUGUGUGUGUGCGGGGGAGGGGGGGGGCAAGGGGGGGUGCGGUCACAGGGUGCGUGGGGUUGCAAAGAACCUAAAGAGAGGCAGCUUCGCCGACUCAGAUCACCAAAAUGCCUCUCUGCAGCUUCCCUGCACCCUCACCCACCCUGUGACCCACUGCCUUCGCACCCCCCCUAACCCACCCACCCACCCACCCGCCACUGAUGCCAGUGCCUAGCUCCUUGCCGACGGUCUUGAUGAUCUCAUGGAUUUUGGCCGCGGCUUUUCCGGCGGCCGCCAGCACGCUCAUCAACGCAAUCAUGUGGUACGCGUCGGCGGAGGUCAUCUUGACCUCAGCCGGCCCAAGGUCAACGCCCGGUGCCAGCAUGGUACCGGCACCUGCAUGACGCCGCCAAACAGAUUGCGCUGCAGUGCGACGGCAUGUUGGGGAGUUGGGGAGGCGGCGUCGUGGGGAGUUGGGACUGGGGAGCACCGUGGCUAAUAGCGGGGCUCAAGGGCUGGAGCAAGGGGGCGCAUCAUCAAGUGCAUUUUCUUGUAAUUGGGAUGCCCCCCCCCCCUGCUCGAGCUCAAUGCGACCGCAAGGGCUUCUGCCCCUCCUCCUUCGGUAGAAGGAGCAAGCCAACGCGCCAGGAGUCACAACUGUGGGAAGCUGCCACCAAAAGUGCCACCCCCGCAAACUCUCAAGCGCCCAUCUCAUCUGUGCAUGCUGGCAGCCGCCGGUGGCAACAAUCCAGGAAUUCAUCAAGACUGCAGCAAGGAGCUAGCACUGGCGUGAGUUGGGCGGGAGGGUUGGGUUAGGGGGUGGAUGCGGAGCCGGUGGGUCACAGGUGGGCGGUGGGCGGGUGGGGGUGCAGGGAAGCUGAAGAGAGGCAUUUGGUGAUGUGGAUCGUCGACCUGGAAGCUGUGUGGGUGCAGUGGGUGGGGCUGUAUCCAGAGGCUGCGUGCUGCAGGCAGCCUACACAUCCCCCAGCCUGCACAUCCCCCAGAUGCAUCCCCCAUAUGCAUCGCUUUACAGACACCUGCGCGCCGGCCCAGCACGCGUGUACCCUCCCUGUUGCUGCGCCCCUCAGGGUCAAGGGGUGGUCUUCACCGUGGUGGCGCGGCGCCUGGAGGGCCGGUCUUCCGUCAUGGUGGUGCCGCCUCCGAACUCGCGGCCGCCGGCUGCUAAGAAUAAGGCAACGGCAACAAUGGAGCGGCUGCUGAAUAAUGAUGACAUAUCGUGGCAGCCCAACUCAAGUACUCCUUCGUGGAUUUCCGUGACCUGCACUACGGCAUCAUCGGGAUGCUCCUGGUGCGUGCGUGCCUGCAUGCGCGUUUCGUGCGUGUGUGGGUGUGUUGUAUGUAUGCGUACUUGCUUGCGUGCGCGUGCGCAUGCGCUUGUGCGUGUGCGUGUGCGUGUGCGUGCGCGUGCGCGUGCGCGUGCGCUUGUGCUUGUGCGUGUGCGUGUGCGCGCGUGUGUGCUUUGACUGUUAAGGAGGCGGCUCCAGAAUGCCGACAUCGAGGUUCAUUGUCAGGGGCGCCAGAACCAGCAGAAGCUCCUCAAGCAUCCGUAUGCCAGCGCACGUGCAUGUGCGUGCCUGCUGCUCCAAAGUGCCAUUGCUUUGCUGUCGGUGCAGGCACUCCUCAGAGAGGAAUCCCCCGUGCUGCCCCCUGAAUCCCCCGCCCUUACCACAGGACCUCGUCCUGCGCAAUGUCCUGCUGCACGCAACUUGUGCGCACGGGAUCAUUAUUACCGUAAGUGGCUGCUGUGACCUGCACAUGUGCAAUAUGUUUGUUGCAAGUAUGCGUCUGCAUGCAUGCAGGUUCACCUGCUUCCAGUAUAUGUAGCUCAGCCUAUCCAACCCCCUCCCUCGGGCCCGCGACGUGCCGUUGUACAUUCUAUUCAAGACAGCCCUUGGGCACAACUGACUGCACAUGCAUUUGUCUCCACGCAGGACGGCCGCACGCCGCUGCCGCUGCUGCCAUCCAGUGGCUAUGUGUGCACCCAGCAGGGCGUUUAAAAUGGUGGAUGACAACCGCGCGCACGGAUGGGGGACGUGCCAAGCUCGCCGCGAUCGCCGUCGGUCUGCGCGACUUCAUGGCGGAACGGGUCAAGGACUCCACCACUCAAUCGCUGCAAACGGAGCUGGACAUGGGCACAUGGCGGUGGCCGACCUGCUGCGAGGAUGCUGGUCGUGAGCGCCGCCGUUCGGUAGGUCGGGCUUGCGUGGCAGCUAUGCCUCGCUCCUAGUGUGGCUAGCGGUGGUGUUGCGUUACGACGGGUCUCCGAUGGUCUCCAAUGGCCCGGGAGGAAGGUGUGCAGUGCGUAUGUUCUGUGUUCCUCUGCCGGCUGAUACCGUACCGUGCUCCCCACCCCUGCACUGAACGCGCUAUGCCCGACGCUCUGCGUACUCCACGUCCAUCCCAUUGCAGGGCCAGGCGGCGGCUGGCGCUGCGACGAGUGAAGGCGGCGGCGGGUGGUGCGUGGCGGCGGGGCCGGGGGCCACAGGGAGGCAUGCGCCGUGCUGCGUGGGGAGCGGCUGUGGUUCGUGUGUUGGGUAUGUUGGGUGUUUGAGGUUGCGCGACACGGGGGCGCCUGUGGUGACAUGGUGAUGUACUUGCGGCAGUGGAUCAGACCUUGAGUGCACGUGCGCCGGUGCGGUAUGGUGGAGCUGAACACCUGGGUGCAUGUGCGUAUGGCACAUACAGUAGGCGCCGUGCGUCCCUGGCGCUGGCUCUUUGCGCUUAGGAGUUAGGGUGUGAGUGGGGAUCAGACGCACGGAUUGCCGUGUUGCAGAAGCUCUGUGAUGUACGGUAAUGGAUGGAUGAUGAUUUGGCACCACGGCGUUUUUGAGUGCACUCCGUGGUGUGACGGUGUCGCGGAGAAGCGUCGGUAGAUGAUGAGCUGCAAGGAUGGUGAUGAGCCCUGGACGAUGACGGCGUCCCACCCUGUGCAAGUGCGACGGGCGACGCUGAAGGUUGCGCGUUCUGGUGCGCGGCACGGCUGGUUCUCCGGCUCUCGCCCGGUCCAGACUGCUAGCUGUUACGUUUUGGUACACCUAGUACACCCUGGAUACACCUCGCCUACCCGCCGGGGAGGGCCUCGUGAUUCCGGACUGCGCAACCAUGGCGUAAAGCGCGGCCAGCGCGACCCUGCUCCGGCCAGACUGACACGAAACACGUCGAAAUUCCUGGCACGCCAUAGAGACAGCACCCAGCUUCUGAGCUUCCGCAACCAAACGCCCAUCCGGCUGUGGCGUCUUUGCACGCGCACUGCUGUUGCCCUUUCGCCCACCUGUCGUACUUGCGCAUCCUCCCCGCCUGCUUGCUUGCCUGCCGCCUUGCUGCUUGCUCACUUGUCGCCCGGCCCUUUGCAUUGACGCGAGCUGUCCGCACAUCAGCUCUGCUCCUCGACGUCCGCGGCUCACCCGUGGACGUGGCUGGACUGCAUCGCGUUGCUUCCUCGUCCCGCACAAGCGUUGGUGGCAGCAGUGGUGGUGGUGGUGGCGGUGGCGGCUGUAUCAAUGGCUGUACCCGGCCGUGUACGGCGCUGUCGAUCUUGAGCUGCUGCGCCUGGGCGACUGUGGCGGCCGCGCGCGUUUGGAUGCCGUGCGGGACAUGGGAUGGGUGCGGGCGGCGGCACCUCCUGUCUUUCCGCAAGACGGCAGUGCUUCCGCGGUAACUCAGAUGGGACCCGCAACUUCUUUGCUUGUCUGCUAUGGCUUUGGACGAUAUGCCGGUGGCGCGGAUGUGCACACAAAGGUGGAAGGUCAGGCCGUUGCCGCCGCCGCCGGCACUUUUGCCCCGCUGUCGCCAGUGUAGUUGGAAAACUGUAACAACGGUAGCACUGUGGAUUGCGGUUUGUUGCAGCCAAUGCAUGUUGGGCCUCCCCCGUGCAUGCGUGCCACCAGGAGACGUGCUGGGCGGGAGGCCCCGGUCCGAUUCUGGUGAACGGGUGACAAGAAAAGGUGGCUCUCCCUUGCAAGGGAAAAGUGGGCUGAGCCCACGCCACGUCCUCCGUCUGAGGCCGAAGGCUCCGAUACGAGCCUCAUCUCCCGGACAUAGCCGGGGUCGGUUUGUACAGGCACCGCCCGCCAUAUGUGUCCAGUCGCGCCCAGCUAUCAAGCACUAGUGCAGCAGGCAGCAGGCCAACCAAGGAAAACACCCCUGCCGCUGCAGCCGACUGCCCGCUACGCCAUGCUCGUCAGCACAGGUCGCUAACCAGACAACACCGGCAGGUCUCAACCUGCGCGCCUGCGCCGCUUUGAAGGCGGCGCCGCGCUGUCCUCCUCCACGUGGCCUUGCCCGCCCCCUCUGCUCCGAACAUGCGCGCCGCCACUGCCGCUGGGCCCAGGGCCGCCCGUGCCGCCGCCACCACCGGGCCCAACGCCGCCGUGGCCGCUGCUGUUGCCGCCGGUAGGCGCGGUGCCACCGCCGCCGCCACCGCCGUCUCCAGGCCCUGCACCGCCGCCACCGCCGCCGCCAGGCCCUGCACCGCCACCGCCGCCAGCAGGUCGCAGGGCUGCAGGCCGCGGUUUGCCAAGCAGCAUCUCCAUCAGCGCGUGCCGCAUGUUUGUAGCCGAGUUGGCGUCACGGCCCUGCAGUUCAACAUGCAAACAGGGCGUGUGUCAUCCCGUGUGUCACCCCGUGUCAUCUCCAAACCGCCCUGUGUCAUCCCGUGUCAUCCCGUGUCAUCAUCUCCAAACCGACCUGCCGCCCCAAACCUGCCAACCCACUUACCCACACAGUCCCGCAGUGUUGGCACACUUGGACGUCGCCGGCACGCGAGCCACCAAACGGAAUGAACGGGUGAAAAAAACAACCAAAACAAGGAACAGCGUGUCGUGCCGUGCGGAAUGCAGGGUCUGCAUUGGCUACUGCCAUACCGUUGCUCCAACGUCACAGCCGCCGCAUGUUGUGCUCCGGUACGGUACCUCCUGCCCCGCCUGUCAUUCCAUGCCGUCACGCCGUGGCCACGGCUUUCAACACAGCGCCCCAACCUCACGUGCAGCACGUCACCGGCAUUACCGCUCCUGCACGCACAACGCCGUCGCUGACGCCGGGGGCCUUGCCCCGUUCUUGGUGGCAGUGUGUGUGGUGGUGGUGAUGGUGAUGAGGGUGUGGCGCACCCUGCUACAGUUAAAUGCGCGUACCGUAGCUUGCGGCAGCAUCCAGCCGUCGCUGCCGCCAGGGGUCAUGCCACGUUGCGACGUUGUGGUCUGGUCUUGGUGGUGCUGGUGAUGGCAGUGAUGGCGUUAAUGAUGGGGUGUGUGGCGUGCCAAUGCGGCAAAGAAGCAGAAACGUGCGUGGGCUGCCGAUAGUGCCGAAUGCGCGGAGAUGGGCCACGGCCAGCGCCACUGGUGGGCAGCAAGUGCGGGCUUAGACGGAUGAAGGGGAAGACACGAGGGCGGGCAGGGGAAGCAAUGAUCGAUUGCCUUUGUCUUGCCUUUCAGUCUUAGCCACUUUGAACCUCGUUCUACAGCACUAUGUCGGCCUGUUGCCCAAUGCCUCACGCCCGCAUCCGAUGCUUUGGGCGCGCCAACAGGCACGGGUGAACCUGUCGGCGUGAACCUGUCGGCGUCUUGCACCCUCCGCACCUAGCCCUCUUCCGCCGCCCUAGAGCCGCAAUCCCAAGCGUCUCUCCCCGCCCGCUGCUGCGGUGCUGCGCAGCCCUUGGCGCGCCCUGGCCUGGCCCGCUGCCGUGGCGCCCUCCGCUGCCCCCGUGCCUUGGCACCCUCACCUGGUCCACAUCGCAACAGCCCCGGCUCCACGUGGACGAGCGGGGCCAGGACCGGACGAGCCGCCAAGCAGCAGUGCCAAUGUCACCGGGGCCUGUGUCCAUGCAGUCCCAGGUUGCAGCUGAUGUAGCUGCUGUCAGGCCUACUCGGGCAUGCGCCGCGCACGCACGGUCCUCACGGCGCGGAGAACACGGAGAACACGGCUGCACAGGAGAACCUACCAAGAGUUGCAGUCCUCAGGCAAUCCUCAGGUACCAAAACCAAGCCCGAACCUGCAAUCACUUGGGCCUGAUGCUCCCGGUUGCAGCUGAUCCAGCUGAGGCUUGCGGGGCGUGCACAACGCAUCGCCGCCAACCUGUGGUGGCAUACAGAGGCGGGAGGCCCUCAGACCCGACCAGGCUCUGCCGUGCUCUCUGGCUUAUGAGUGCUUGCAAUUUGUUCUUAGCGGGAAAGGGAUACGCGCUAGCUGCCUCCUCCAGGGUUUGCCAAAAGUUUGCGCGUGUGAAAAGCAAGACGCCUGUAACGCGUAAUCCUAUUCGUUGGAGCAAAUGGAUCUUAUACAUAAAGAAGUUGCAGGUGUGAAUCGCAGGCCGAGGGGCUUCAUACUAAUGCCGACCGGGGCCCCAUCAUGCAAGUUGUACACCUGGAUGCCCUUUUGCCCAGUCCCGCACAAUUCUAAGGUGUUUCUCGCUCUGAGCUUUUACCUUAGUACUUUAGGGGGGCCUUCCGACUUGGGCACGUGCUAACUAACAUAGGAGCAUCCCUUGACUUGUUGAUCAUUAUGGGAGGACCUGAUUUUGACGUAGUUCGUGUCACGCAGUGGCGGUGCUCCUGUCCGCGUGGCGUAAUGGCGUUGCGGGCUUGCGGAGUUGCGGGCUUGCGGCCGUGGCCGUGGUCCUGGCGUGGAUUCCACUGGAUUCCACUGGAUCGAGACCCGGUGCAAGGCGUGCAUUCUUUUCUAUUUUGAAUUAUCGCGUCGUGUGUGUAUGUGUGUGUCAGGGCAUGUGAACACACCCCGACUGUGAACACACAAGCAGCUAGCUGUUCACGCGGUCGAGAUGCCUCCAGGCGCCGUGUCAAUUGCUGGCGCUACAUGCAAGUGCUGUUUACUUAGGACAUGUUUAUUCCCAGCAACCCAACACAGGGCAUGCCCCGCCAAUUUAUUAGCGUACGACGGGGGAUGAGCCCCGCGUCUCAAAAUUGUAAAGCCAACUUGGCUCAGACUGCUUAUAGCAUACUUUUAUCCGCGUUAGCUGCCUUCGCGCCCACGCCGAGUACAGUCCCGCAGCGAGAGAUGUGCCUGCAGCCUUAUUUGCAACAUAUUGCCCCGCAAACUGUCUACAGUACUCGCUCGCUACGUUCAAUACCGCGUAGGCCAUAAUAGCGCCAAAGCGAGCCUGCGGGCCGCAAACUCUGAGCCGACUCUGCGCCGAUUCUACCGAACCAGCUGAGCUGAGCCUCGGAUAGCCUGAUGGGUGACCUGGACCGCAACUACCGCUAUAGUUAUGAUGAAACCGAUGUCAGCAUGUUGGGGGAGGAGGGCAACGCGAGCGAUGCGAUGAGCUGGGAUGGGCCCGAUGGCGCUGCGGGAGCUGGCCACGGUGAUGCCGACAGCGUCGUGCUUAGGGGUGACGCCGAAGCAGAUGUUACGGAUGGCUACGCCGAUCUGCGCGUGGAUUCCUGCCACGAGGAGGCAGCGGACCCAGACUCGUCCGCUGUGCUUGCGGUGCGCAAUUCAAAACGUGACCUGCGUGUGCAGCAAGCAAUUGUGUACUGUAAAUUUAGCGAGGUGGCUGGGUGCGGGCACGACGGGCGUUGGGGUAAACAACUUGCCGCUGCAUAUGUGGUGCUUGUGCCUGGGAGUCGUACAUCAAUAUGCCCACACUGCAAACCGCCGUGCCGACGCAGGAAGUCCCGAAAGUUGACUGCCAGUGCACAAUUUUGACAGCAGCAGCGCCAGGCACCCGCGUCACCCGUGCUGAGGUGGGUACGCUUCGAGGUAGACAGGAUGCCGUUGAUUUGCAGCCUCCCGUGUAGGAACCUUGUCGUGCGAGGAAUGCUGGAGGGGGGUCAUAUCUGGCAUUUGCCGCGUCGUGCGUGAUUAAGACUUGGCCAUACGCGUGCCAUACGUGAUGCAGGAUGUGCUCACCGGGUACUUGUCCAAGUGCGGCGCCACAGCUCAAGGUGGUGAGCGUGCGCAAUCAAUAGCUGUUCGCAACGUCUUGAGCCUCGGGCACCACUUCAAAUGAGCAGGGGCAAGGGCUACAGUGCAGCGCGCGUAGGCGUGCAUCACCAGCUAGCGUGAUCCUCUGUUGCUCUUUUAGAGACUGCGAUUUGGGUUUCCACCUGAGGUCCUGACGCUACCCGCUUUCCUGUUGUCGUCCUGUUCCUACCUGCAGGCGAAGGCAACGGCGCCACAGGCCGUGAUGUGUUCCCUGGGCCGCACCCUGGCAGGACCGCCACACAGCCACCGCCUGCUGCAGCUGGUGGCACGGUGAGCUGCGUAAUGCUGUUGCGGGGGCUUGCUCCAUCCAUUGAAUGUACGGGCCGUGCAGGGCAAACGCCCAAGAGGUGGGCAGGGCCGGCGGCAGGGACGUACCGUGUUGCUUGAAUGCUGGCAGCUGAUGGCAUGACUAAGGUUGGGGGUACUGCGCACAACCGCAACCGUACCACACACUGCUGCGAUGCCGUUUGAUAAGUGUGUAACUCCCGCCACCCCUCGUCCCUUCACUGCUUCCGCAGGACGCCACGGAUGCAGGGAGCUCGGGCGGCCCGUCUGCCGCUGCGUCAUGGGAGCGGCUGGGGGCCCGGCGGAGCGCGCUGGCAGCCGCGGAGCACAGCGAGGCGGGCAUCGCGGCAGUGGCACCCGCGACCGCCGACAUGCUGGAUACGGAGGAGGGCGCGCAGGUCCAGCGCGGCGCGGCAACGCCGGCCAGUGGCGCAGUGAGUUCUGCAGGCGUGCAGGGUUGGGGAGCAGGCUGUGUGGCUGUAUCCUGCGAGUCUGCCUGCACAUGUGAAGGCGAGGCCGACUUGAGCGGGGCUGGUAAAGGCCAUAACGGGCAGGAGCAUCAGCGAGGGUGGGGAGGUAGCGGUGUCGGCGGCAUCCUGCAUGGGGUCAGCUGAUGACCCAGUUUCAUACUGCAUGCCGGCGCGGCAUCCUGAUCGCAUUGUCCGGCUUGGCGCUACAGGAAUUGCCGCGGCAGGAGGGCGGCGAGGACGGCGUGGCCGCUGAGGAGGGGCUGUGGCCCACCACGGCGUAUGAGGAGUGGUUGCGCGCCCGGCUGCGUUAUGCGCUGUGGCGCAGCCAUGUGGCAUGCUGCUCUAUGCUGCACGGCAUGCCGGGGGGCCCGGCAGCGGAGGAAGGGGAGGCGGCGAAGGCGGCGGAGGCACCCGCCGCCGCCGCCAUGCUGCUGGACGCAGAGGAGGGCGAGGAGGGGCGGCAAGCCAUGGCACCGCCGGCCAGUGGCGCAGUGAGUACCGCGAGCAAGGGUUGGGCAGAGGGCUGCAUGGCUGUGUCCUGAGAGUCUGCCGCGAGGCCCCUGAAGGACAAGGGGCGGACGGCUUGGCUGCGUGUGGAAAAGCAUGUUCGGUUUGGCUGGCGCGAGCAUGAAGAUACCAUGUGCAUGGGCCCAAACUUUCUUGCUUCCUUAUGCGCCGGAUCGGCGCUACACGCCCGCACCGAUGUCAGCUGGCGCAUGCCGCUGGGCUUUUUCAUCUAUGCCACUCGUCGCCAAUUCAUAGCGGCCCCAGCAGUCGGUAACUAUCCGCCCUUGACGAUGCCCUUGCACCCUCUCCCGCCCUCUUUAUGUUCUUCGUGUCACGACCAGGCGGCAAGCGGUGGCGGCGGCGGAGAGCUCCUCUUUGAUGACCUGCGGGCGGCGCUUGCAUCGGUGUCGUCCUCCUUGGGGCGGGGCUCGGCGCCAUUCGCGGCGUGCGCCUGUGACCCCGGCCAGCAUGGCGAGGCCCGGCCGUCAUCAGACCCUGUGCGCACGCCGCAGCCGCCACAGCCUGCAGCCGCGCUGGAACUGCUGUCCCCGGUCACCUGCUGCAGCGGCUCAUCCGCAGAUCUUGCAGCGGUGCAGCGGCAAGGUGCGGCGUGUGCUGCGGCUGCUUCGGCAGCAGCGCCAAGCCCACGCCCACUGCCGUCAGUGGCGGCGGAGGUCCAGACGCAGCAUCCGGCGGCAGCAGCAGACAACGAGCCGGCUGACGGCACCACGCCGCAGCGCUCGGCUAAAGAGGUGACGCCCCAGCAGCCGAACGCGCAGCAGAGAGGAGUCGCGCCGGUGCGGCUGCUGCCUCGGGUGGACCGGCUGCCCCGUAUCGCCAUGACGCCGGUAGGCGCGCGCAUGCAUGGGCGGGAUGGACAGCGGGCCGAUGACACGCAUGCAUGGGCACGCCGCCUAUGCUAUCUUUGGGCUUGCGUGAAGCAUGGGGCGCAUGGGGGUGCUGCUGUUGUUGCUGCAUCGUCCUUCGCACUCCCUAUGGCAAAUCGAACCUGUCCUUAUCUAUGGCGUUCUCUUACGCAUGUUAUAGAAUGCAAAGCUGUGGCAGCACAACGCGCGGUAUAACACAGCCGCCAAGGCUGUGGUGGACAUCGUGCUGGGCGUGGUGGCGACAGCAGAGGAGCAGCAGGGCUCGGACCUGGGCCCUUGCUUCUACCUGACGGCCACCGCCGUCCUGCUGCUGAGCCUGGUGCUAUUGCACGGCCUCGAAGAUCCAUCCACGCAGCCCUGGCUUAAACGGGGCACCCAGAAUAUGGAGGAACUGGUGGCGCAGCUGGAGAGGUGGGCGUCCUUCAAGGACCUCAACCUCGACACGUGCAUCCGGUACCUGUGGGCAGGCGCGCCAGACUGGCCCAAGGUGGCGCAGACCCUGGCCGCGGUCAGGGAAGGCCUCACCCUCAACCACAUUUGUAAGGUGUGUUCGGCCAUCGGAAUGACGUGGCGCGCGCUCGUGUCGUGGAAGCAAUUGCCGGCCCGCAUUCUGACCCGCUAAACGUGCCCUGUCCUGUGUGUGCAUUUACACAGGGCAGCUACAACGCAGUUUUUUGGGUGGUGGGCAGGGGUGACUUGCUCACGAGACAGCCGCUGCAUAAUAUCGAUUCGGACCUGCUGGCGGCCGUCUACAACCAAGGGCCAGCGCUGCUCCGCCACCUGCGUGCGGCCUGCGCGAUUCACCGCGACAGUAAGCAGCCCAUCGGUGUGCGCGUCAUGGGCCUGCUGCCGGUGGUCAACAGGCGCGUCCCGGACCUCACCACCGGCGAGGCGCUGCGGAGCCUGUGCGCAGCGAAGGGUAAAGUGGCGAUUGCCAUGGUGUUGGAGCGACUGACGACCGUGGAGGAGGUCGCGAAGGCGCUGGCAGCGUACACCGUGGCCCGUGGCCCGUGGCAGGUGAUUGGGCGGGUUGCACGCGCUUCAUUCAUGCCCGGUGCCAGCAAGCGUUUAGCCCGCAGCUUGCGCACAGGGCAGCUUGUGCAGCGUCUUCGUUCCAUUGCCAUACAUCGAUGGCAAACCGUAUGAUCCCUCGUGCACCGCGUGCAGGAGGGUGUGUGGCCGCUGGGCUUGGGGCUGGCGCUGACGAGAGGCGUGCUGAGCGCGACGGGUCAUUUGAUCAAGCUGGGGCUGCACCACGGCGAUAUCAAGGUUAACAACGUGGGGUUCACCGACCUCAAGCAGCAGCCGUUCCGCGACGCGACGUUUCUAGACAACGACGACCUGAGCCAGGACCCAAAUGGGCGUGUGCACAGGUACCACACCUCUCGGUUCACGGCCCUGGGGGCGCAGCAGUGUAUAAACAGCGGCAACAUGUGGUGCCGCCCGAGCUUGCGGCUACAGGGCAUGGACCUGCACCAGGUAGAUGUGUCUGUUGUGUCGGUCCGACGCACGCAUGGACACUAAGCACUGCUUGCUUGGCCGUAAGUGCUUGCAAGCUGGCGCAUUCGCCUGGCUUGGCUGACUAGCUAUGGCCCCGGCUCUCUCCUGCGCAGGUGCAAGGCUUUCAGGCCACGCUGAUAGUGCUGCUGCUGCCGGAGGCGGUGCUUUACCAUGCCAACGACGGCUGCGUCAAUUUCUUUAGUUUUGUCCCGGCGCUGUGGAACACCGGCCACGGCGGCCUAGGCGUGCUGUAUCCCAGCCAGCUGAUGUCCGCCGUGCUGGCGGGUGUGCUGGGGACUCUAAUGCACCCGCUUGCCGACAAGCGCAAGGGCCUGCCGGAGCUCAUGCCGCGCGUCCACAGCCUGUGCAGCGCCAUGGACGAGUGCGAUUUCUGCCUUCGCGGGCUCACUGACGCCGGCGGGUGCCUGCGCGUGCCGGUGCGUGGUGCCCAACCGAUGUGUUAGUUAAGGUUGGAUUCGCAUGCCGUGAUCCUGCCGCUCGGGCAUGGGUGAAACCCUACGUGGUUGUGCUGCUGCUGUCUUUCAUUGUGGCCACACAUGCACAUCGGUGGCCCCUGGUUGCAGAUCGGCGCCGGGCCGCUGGCCCACCUGUGCAGCCCGCCACAGACCGACGUGCUGCUGCGCCAGCUGCUCUCGGCGCUGGAGGAGUGGCGCGAGGACCCGUUCAUGGCGGCCAACCUGUUCCAGGUGAUUACGCUGCUGCACAAGGCGGCCCACUGCACCUGGCCCGCCGGCCCCGUCAACGACUUCAUGCAGCGGGUGCUGCUGCUGGCGGUGCUGUGCGACAUUGUGCGCGUGGAACGCCAGGCGGAGGCUGGGCUAGAGCGACCGGAGCUGCUGCUGCUGUACAAGGUGCGCGCUGCUGUACAUAUUGGGCCCCUUACAUGUCAUGACACCCUUGGUAGAUUGUCUGGAUGGGUUGCGAAUUGAGUGCGUGCGUGCGUGCUUGGCCUGCUGUUUGUGCUGCAGGGCAAGCAAGGCGACCGCGAGCGCACGCUACUGCACCUGCUGGGCGCCACCGGAAGCACGCAGGGCUACCUCACCAUUCUGCGGGCUCUGGCCAUGGCUGGCCUUUGCUUUGACCGCUAUAAACGUGUCAUGAACGCGGUCGACCAGGUGAGUGUCCGAGACACCGGGGCGGGGUGCUGGCUUGAUUGCUCGUCACCUAUGCCUGAUGACCCAAGCUGGUGUGCUGGAUCCCGUCACCCACUGCAGAACGGAUACUCGCCGCUCAUGCUGGCGGCCGUGCAUGGGCAGCACGCGCUCGUCAUGGCGCACAUCAGCUUUGCAAAGGAGCAGCUGGACGAGGAGGCGCAGCAGCUGCUGAACGAGGCCCUGUCACCCGACCUACGUAAGGUCAGCGAGCGUGCGGUGUUACAGCUGCUGGACGGGCUGGUCCCGCAGCCGGCCGCCCUGGGAGGCCUGCUCACCAUCCUGUGCUCUCAGUUCAACGGACACAACGACCAGCUUCAGAAGCUCCUGGCGUACGUGCCGCCGGUACUGCGGCUGCCAGAGGUGACCGGCGGGCAGGGCGGCGGGGCAAGCAGCAGCGGGGCGGGCGGCGAGGUGGCUGCGGGCGGGCUGCUGGCAGCCGCACAUGCGCACCUGGGCGCGUCCCAGGAGAAGCUGGAGCAGGCGCUCGAGGACUCCCGCCUGCAGCCGCUGCUGCGCUGCCUGCGUGGGCCGGUUCAGCCGGCGGCAGGCCAGGAGGCGGGACCCCACAUUGUGGAGCAGGUGGCGCGCGGCGCGCUCAAGCUGUUUGCGACGGCCGCAGAGCUGCCGCUGACAGACGCGGUCGUGAAUAUUGGAGUCUAUGUACUGCCGGCUCGGUUACUCACGGCAAAGGUGACUGGCGCCCGUAUGGAUUUAGACAGGUCGCGCCCUGAUGCAACUAGCUAUACAGAUGCCGCAACGGUCUGGGAAACGUCGGGCGUUGCGCGGAUGCAUCCAUACCCAUUCGCACGUGUGCGUCUUGCUCUGCAGACCGCUCGGGAGCUGGGCGCGGACACCCCCUUCCAUGCAGCGGCUGCGAUGGCUGGUCCCCUGCCCGGGCUCUAUGCUGCGGUCGAGGAGACGUUUGGAUGCAAGCUUGCCGACAAAUGCCUGGCGGAGUUGAACGCGGUAGGUGCGAGGAGCAUAGUGCCACAGCAGUGGAUGACGGCGUGUGGUUGAGGCUAUCCAAUUCAGUGCAUACCAUACCGUCACAGUGGCAGAACGCUCCCACUCCUCCCACUACUUUCCCCGCCCGACCAAGUCCUCCGACCCUCCAUACCGUUACCGAUUUCCCCUGUUUCGCCUAUCCCUCCCCUCUUCAGUCGCGCGAACAGCAAGUCCAAUCGCUCCCUCCUCCGGUCCGCACUGGCUCAUCUGUCUUUUCAGGCACCCCCAUCAAUUACCGUGCCUGCCGCACAGAUCCCGCACGAACUGUCCUCUCCCACCCAUCCGCAAGGACUGUCCCGAACGUCCACCGUGUACCCCUGAACGCGCACAACCCCCCCCCCAUUGACGUUCAGUGAUGGCGUGUGCGCAGAGGAGACAAUUAGCGGAACUCACAGCCGCGACACGGGUAUACAAUUGUACAUUCUAUGGCGCUCAUUGGGCACAGCUAACUGUGUACUUCUUUGCAUUUGUGUCCACGCAGGACGGCCGCACGCCGCUGCAGGUGCUGCUGCAGUGCCACCCAGUGCUGAUGUCCGCACCCAGCAGGGCGUUUGGAAAGGUGGACGACCACCGCACGGAAGAGGGACGCGCCAAGCUCGCCGCGAUCGCCGUCGGUCUGCGCGACUUCAUGGCGGAACGGGUCAAGGACUCCGCCACUCAAUCGCUGCAAGCGGAGCUGGGCAUGGCGGUUCCCAACCUGCUGCCAGGAUGCUGGUCGUGAGCGCCGCCAUUCGGUAGGUCGGGCUUCGUGACGGUCAGGUGGUAGCUUUGCCCCGCUUCUGGUGUGCCUAGCGGCGGUGUUGCGUCAAGAGGGGGUAUCCGAUGGUCUCUCAUGGCCUGGGAGGAAGGUGUGGAUGGCGUAUGUAUGCCCUGUGUUCCUCUUUCCGAAGGAUAUGCAUGUGUUUCCCGCGGAUGCACCGAGCGCUAUGCACAAUGCCCGGCGUGAUCCAGGCCCAUCCCAUUUACAGGGGCGGGUGGCGGCUGGCGCUGCGGCGAGUGAAGGCGCGGCGGGUGGUGGCGGUGGUGGUGGCUGUAUUAGUCGCUGUACCCGCCCGUGUACGGCACUGUCGAUCUUGAGCUGCUGCGCCUGGGCAACUGUGGCGGCCGCGCGUGCUUGGGCGUCGUGCGUGACAUUGGAUGGGUGCGGGCGGCGGCACCUCCUGUCUUUCCGCAAGACUGCAGUGCUUAAGCGGGAGCCCUGACGUGACUUAAAUACUUGUCUGCUAUGGCUUCGGAUCAUGUGCCUGAUACGCGGAUGCCGACACAAAAGGUGAAAGCUCUGGCCGGUACUCUUGCCCCACUGUCACCAGUGGAGUAAAGCUGUAACAACGGAGGCGUUAUGGAUUGUUGCUGCUGCCCACGCAUGCUGGGGCUCCCCGGUGCGUGCGUGUGACAAGUAGACAUGCAGGGCAGGGGGGCACGGACCGUUGCUUUAAGUGCGCCAUCAGGCACGGGUGAAAACCAAAGAACGACGUGUUGCAGGGUCUGCAUUCCCACAUGCGCUUGCACUUGCUCUUCGGGCCACGUGCCCCAGAUUGCCGCCUGACCUACCGGGCGUGCACAACCUGACCUGGCAGUGGGAACUUAGGUCUACAUUAGAGGCGUUGCACGUAUUAUCAAUGAAACUAUGAAAGCCCCUCAGUAGUGCCCAGCGGUGCCGCGGUGGUCGCGAACAGGGCCAUGGCUAAAAGCAGAAACGUGCGUGGGCUGCCGAUAGUGCCGAAUAUGCGGAGAUGGGCCGCGGCCAGCGCCACUGGUGGGCAGCAAGUGCGGGUUUAGACGGAUGAAGGGGAAGAAUCACCACAAGGGCGGGCAGGGGAAGCAAUGAUGGAUUGCGUCUUGCCUUUCAGCCUGAGCAACUCUGAACUUCAUCUUACAGCACCAUAUCGGCCGGUUGCCCAAUACCUCACGCCCGCAUCCGAUGCUUUAAGCGCGCCAACAGGCACGGGUGAAACCAAGGACAUGUGGGAGCUGCUGCUGCCAUGCCUGAUUCGACGUGGGCGGCCGCGUCCCGUUGUCCGGGCCAGCCAACCCUCAUUCAUACCUGCUUUUUACAAUGCGACCCAGCCUGUACAUACGUACGGGACGGUAGGGGGCUCCUGCAAAGAGUUCGUGUGAUUGGGGCGCCGGCCGGACCAGGCCGGAGGCCCUCACGGGUCCCCUCUCGCCCACUUCAGCUGUGCGGAUGACCCGACCGUGCAAACCCAGCUAACCGGGUUCCGGAGCAAUCAGCUACCGGGGGCACCGGUGACUCAGUCGGCGGGGCAGACAGGCCAGCGCAUCUGCACCACAGGAAGCCGCCUGCCGGCAUCUUCUCGGUUGUCGCACCCUCCUCACCUAGCCCUCUUCCCCGGCCCAAGAACCUCGCCUGGCCCACAUCGCAACAGCCCCCGCUCCACGUGGACGUAGGUGGAUGAGCGGGACCGAGCCGCCAAGCAGCAGUGCCAAUGCCACCGGGGCCUGUGUCCAUGCAGUCCCAGGUUGCAGCCGAUGUAGCUGCUGUCAGGCCUACUCGGGCAUGCGCCGCGCACGCACGGUUCGUGUGGCGCAGAGAACACGGAGAACAAGGCUGCACAGGAGAACCUACAAAGAGUUGCAGUCCUCAGGCAAUCCUAAGGUGCCAAAACCCAGCCCUAACCUGCAAUCGCUUGGGCCUCAUGCUCCCGGUUGCAGCUGAUCCAGCUGAGGCUUGCGGGGCGUGCAUCGCCGCCAACCUCAACGCGGGUGGCACGGAGGCCCCAAGCCCCGACCAGGCUCCGCCGUGCUCUCUGGCUCAUGAGUGCUUGCAAUUUGUCCUUUACGGGAAAGGGAUACGCGCUACAGUAGUUGCCUCCUUCAGGUUUGCCAUAAGUUUGCGCGUGUGAAAUCAAGACGCCUGUAACGCGUAAUCAUAUUCGUUUUUGGAGCAAAUGGAUCUUAUACAUAAGAAUGUGCAGGUGUAAAUCGCAGACCCAGGGACCGCUUUGACUAAAUGCCGACCGGGCCCCCAUCAUGCAAGUUGUGCACCUGGAUGCCCUUUUGCCCAGUCCCGCUAAAUUCUAAGUUGUUUCUCGCUCUGAGCUUUUACCUUAGUACUCUAGGGGCGCCUGCCGACUUGGGCACGUGCUGAGAAAGAUGCAGGCUUCUUUGCGCGCGCGGGCUAGGCCCUUUACCUCGGGUAUGUGACUCUAGAGCUGGACGUAGAUCUAGGAUUGAUGCGACUAAAAUUGUGGGCUUGCUCUGCAGGCGCCCAGCCAUCGCUGCGGCGAGCGCCCGCUCGCGUCUGCCGCCCCGUGGCGUCAGCAGCGGCUGCUAAAGGACCCGUUGUUGUUGUGGACAACUACGAUAGCUUCACAUACAACUUGUGUCAGGUGGGGCGGUCGCUGCAUGUUUGCCGCGAGGCAUCGGCACGUCUCAGCGCCUCACCGCUGCCCUCUCUGACGCCAAUUGCAGUAUCUGGGUGACUUUGGGGUUGACUAUGUGGUGUACAAAAACGACGAGAAAACCGUGGAUGAGAUCAGGGCCAUGAACCCUCGCGGUAUCCUCGUGUCGCCCGGCCCCGGUGAGUGCUCGCCUCGCAGCCCCAGCGCCACGUUCUUGGCUUGGCGCGUCCCGCCUUUGAUACGCCCAAACAGGGCUAACUUGUGUCAGCUAGCCCUUUCCGCAUCUUGUGCAUGGAAUGCUGGGCUGUGCAACUGACGGUGAUGCGGUUUCCUGUCAUGUGCGCGCAGGCCGGCCCAUCGACUCGGGCAUCUCCCUACAAACAGUGCGGGAGCUGGGUCCCGACUUCCCACUAUUUGGUGUGUGCAUGGGGCAUCAAUGCAUUGGCGAGGCAUUCGGAGGUGCGUCGUGCUGGGGCUGCUGCGAUGAUGGUGGAGGGAUGAUGGAGGGUAGCAUGGGUCAGGAACGGGGAGGAGGCCAGGGGCGGAACACGCCGCACACGCCGCACCAGUGAGGGCCGCGCACGCCAAACCUGGCUGAGGGCAGGCACCAGGCAGCAUAUGUACGUGAGGAUGAGCAUCAACCCGUUCAGGCGCCUGAAGCAUUGCCGUGCGUCGUGUGAGGGUCGUGGUGGGGCAGCCGCAGCCACAUACCGCUACCUGCAGCGGGCGGCAACAGCGGGCGGCCACUGCGGGCGUGGCGACAGUGGCAGCGGGGCGCCGGCGCCGCCCGCACCCAGGCCGCAGAAGUUGCAAUUGAGGGAAUCCAGUGACCUCAUACAGCGGCCUGGCGCAGCCCUCAGGCCGCCGCGCCAGGACCUGCAACAUUCCCCCUGGGGCGGCAGGCGACUGCAGAGCCGGUCGUCCGCGCAUGGGCGGUAGCUGCUGCCGUGGCUGCCACCCGUCAGACUGCCGCCCCGUCAGACUGGCUCCCUGGUGUGCUGCGCUGCAGGUGACGUGGUGCGCGCGCCGUGCGGGGUGAUGCACGGCAAGACGUCGCCGGUGUUCCACACCAACGUGGGGCUCCUGGAGGGCCUGCCCAAGUAGGUGUGGCGUGCCGCGUGACGUGUCGCGAGCGGCGUGGGAUGGGGAGGGGAGGGGAGGGCGAGGGGAGAAGCGAGGGGUAGGAGGACAGGGGAGGGGGGGGGAAAGGGGGGGAGCAUUGGACCCGAUACAGAGGGUAGCCUGCAGCUUCGGCGUGGUGGCAGGGCAAUACGGUAGAGUAGAGAGGAGGGGAUCGUGCGCGAUGGUCUUGCGGGUUGGAAGUGAGGGCUACUGGAUCGGGGCUGGAAAGCAGCUUCAGGGGUGCAUGCGGGAGAGGGUGAAACAUGGCAAUGAGAUGGCGCGGCAUCCGACCGAGCAGCUCGGGCGGCGUGGCAGCAACAGGAUGGCUUUGGGGGCGCAGCUGGAGCGCGGGCCUGCAGCGGAGGCCGUCAGCUGGAGGGCAGGCAGCGGGUGGCAGAGCAGAUCUGGUGGUCCAGAUGGAGAUGCACGCGGGGAUGGGCAGGGGCGUUGAAGGGCGGGCGGCACGGGGUGGGCGGAGCGCAGCGGGAAAGGGGGACUGCUCGUGGCAUGACGUGACAUGGCUCGUGGGGUGGGUGGUGGGGCUGGGGCGGGUGUCGACAGUGUUGUGCUCGCUGCCUUCCCGCCCCGGCUCCUGCGUCCUGCUUACGCACGCGUCACAGCACACCCACAACUGCGUUCUCCAACACCUCCACCUGCAACGCGACUCGCUAACCACCCCCACCCCCGUGGCCCGAAUUCCUCUUGACCCUGCGCGCCAUCCCAACCGGGGCACAUGUUCUCCGCUCUGGCACGUACACCCCGCUUUCACCAGAAUCGCACGCCUAAACCGUGUCAUCAAUCCCCCCCAUCGCCCUUCACCCGCGGCCCACGCCCCACUCCCGCAGCCCCUUCGAGGCGUGCCGCUACCACAGCCUGGUCAUCAAGCGCGACACCAUCCCGGAGGACCUGGAGGUCACGGCCUGGACGGAGGACGGCACCAUCAUGGGCGUGCGCCACAAGAAGUACCCGCACAUCCAGGGGGUGCAGUUCCACCCCGAGUCCAUCAUCACGCAGGUGCGCGGCAGGGGUGUGUGGGAAGGAAGGGGGUUGUAAGUGCCAGCCUGAACUAAACCAAACCACGCCAAACUAGCGGAGCACAGGCAGAGGCGCGGGCACUAGGGGGCGCUAGGGCAACUGUCAAGGACUUGCACCCGGCGCCGUGGAUAUGAACAUAGUCCUGUCACCAACAUUGCUGUACCCUCGCCACUGCAGAGUGGCAAGAAGAUUGUGGAGAACUUCGUGAAGACUCUGUAACGCCCUGUUGUGACGGUGAAGGUGGCGAGGAGUUUGGCGAGCAGCGUUUAGCGGCGAGGAGCUGCGUGGAGCUAUUGCCAUGAGCGACUUGCGUGGAGGCACUGCCUUCUCUGAAACUGUGAAAGUCAUGUUGCGGCGGUGCCUGGCCAAGUGGUGGCGCAGGGCGUGGCCCCAGCUGUUGCCAGUGAGGGCGGUGUGCUGCAGCUGAGGUGAACACGUGGUGCAUGCGCCUCGGGAACCUCCGGUGGAAAUGAAGUGAAGUGAAGGAGCGUGCUGGAGGCGUGGCAGUGUGAGGACAGGGCAGCUGAGACGUGAGGGUUGUGGAGUGGAGCAUGUGACUGGGUAGCAAGGUGUGAUUGGGGCGCGUAGCUAGGGGUGCGUGAGAGCGUGGGUUGCAUGGUCUGCAUCUUGACGCGGGUUGGGCACAAUUGCAGAGAGUGUGAAAGGAGGGCAUGCGUGCAGGCUGUGCAGGCCCCACGCCUCUGAACAACUGGGCAAAGCCGGGGAGGUGGCUUCGGGUUUGGUGUGGGGUUAAGUCGUGGCUGCCCAUGGAGCGGCGGGUGUGAUUGCAAAGUGGGCCACGGAAGUAGCUAUGAGACACCGUGUGUUAUGCUGCUACUGCGUGCAAGGGGUUUAUAGACACGGGUUAUUGAGGUUAGGGUUGUUGGUGGACGGCGCUUAAUAGUCGGGCAGUCGGACAAGAACCCUGGUUUGGGCCCUGCAUGAAAGGUGAGCGCCGAACAAAGCAUGCAAGCGAGCCAUGUCUUACGACAUCAACGCUACCGCUUUUAAACGUGUAUCUUGGAAUCCACAGCGGUGUCCUAACUGCAGUCCUGGGUCGCCUCGCCUGGAGAAAUCGGCUUUGCCAGAACUGUCAUCCCGCUUACCCAAGCUUCCCGCACAUGCUUUUUGUACAAUUCGGCUUGCCCAAGCUUUCUUUAGGCCAUAUUGAAUUUACUUCCAUCCGCUGCGCGCGAUAAGAAGGCUCCUGGCCGCCGACUCAUAGUUUACCUCGCUUUUCGUUUGCUUGUUUAGUCGGUCGCUCGCCACGAUGCUGGCUAAGUUUGCCUCUGGGCAAUUACUGGGGGCAACGGCGGGCUGCUCUACGCGGCAGGCGGCAAUGCCCGCACGUUGCCUCAGCGGUGUCUCCUCGCGCGCCCAACAGCCUCUGUUAUCCUCGGGCCAGACUAGCGCCCAAUUGCCUAUUCAAAGUCAUCGCUGCGCUGUAAUUACGCAAGGCCAGGCAAACAGCUCGCUGCGCCUGCCGAUUGAGUUGGACCUUGAGACGCCGUUGCCCGGCUUUGAUAGCAUUUCGUCGGCGCUGGCGGACCUUGCAGCUGGAAAGGUUGUGGUGGUAAUUGACGACGAGGAUCGGGAGAAUGAGGGCGAUCUCAUCAUGAACGCGGACAAGGUCACCACGGAGACCAUGGCAUUCUUCGUCGAGUACACCAGCGGUGUGGUGUGCAUUUCCAUGGAAGGCCAGGACCUGGACCGCCUCAAGCUGCCGCUGAUGAUUAACAGCGCGGAGAACGAGGAGGCCAUGUACACCGCCUUCACGGUGACCGUGGACCUGCGCGACGACAUCACCACCGGCAUCUCCGCCUCCGACCGCGCCAAGACCAUCCGCCGCCUGGCUGACCCCUCCGCCACCUGGACUGACUUCCGCCGCCCCGGCCACAUCUUCCCGCUGCGCUACCGCCCCGGCGGCGUCAUCGUGCGGCCCGGCCACACGGAGGCCGCCGUGGACCUAGCGCGCCUGUCCGGCUCCUUCCCCGCCGGCGUGCUCUGCGAAAUCGUCAACAAGGAGGACGGCAGCAUGUCGCGCACGCCGCAGCUGCUGGAGUUCGCCAAGCGCCACGGCCUCAAGUGCAUCACCAUCGCCGACCUCAUCCGCUACCGCCUCCGCAACGAGGCGAUCGUGACGCCCGCCGGCGAGCCCACGCCGCUCACCGCUGCCUCCGGCGCGCGCCUCACCGCGCAGGCCUUCCGCAACGCCGUGGACGGCACCGAGCACGUGGCCUUCGUGCACGGCGCUGUGGCCGACUCGGCCUCGGACGUGCUGCUGCACGUGCACCACGAGCGCACCGUGGCGGACCUGCUGGACUGCGCCGCGCCCGGCACCAGCGCCGGCGGCGCUGCCGACUGCAGCCUGCCCGCAGCCAACGCGAGCUCGCUGGACGGCGCGCUGCGGUCCGUGGCGGCGGCGGGCGCGGGCGUGGUGGUGUACCUGCGCGGGCAGAGCGCGCGCGGGCUGCCGCCGUCGGCGGAGCUCGCGGCGCUUGGCAGCGGCGGCGCGGGCGCGGGCGCGCUGUACUCGUGCGACCUGAAGGACGCGGCGGUGGUGGCGCAGAUGCUGCGGCAGCUGGGCGUGCGCUCCGUGUCGCUGGCGGGUGGCGAGGGCGCGAUGGCGACGGCGCUGCGCAGCUGCGGCCUGGCGGUGCGGCCCGCGGCGGCGGCGGCGGGAGGCGCGGGCGCGGCGACGCAGCACGUGAACGGCAACGGUGCCAGCAGCAACGGGCACGUGCACAGCUCGCCGCUGCAGACCGCGGGCAUGCGGUGAGCGGCGGCUGUGCGCCGGAACGCAGGGCCGGGGGGCGGGGGGCGGGGGUCGGGAGCGGGAACGAGAGCGUUUAGGGUGGCGCCGUGAGGCACCGUGUUAGGAGCGCGGCAACUUGGUCACGACUGACUGACGUGUGCGGUUGACAUGACGGCGUGGUAGUGCGCAGAUCCCACGGGCAGCGGGCAUGCGGGUUCGGGACAUGGGCGGUGUGCACGGCAGCGCGGGUCUGCAACGCGGGUCUGUACGCAGGUUCACAUGUGUCGGCAUGGGCAUGGGCAUUGUAUUUGCCAGUAGCAACCGGGUGUGACGGGAACAGGUCGCAUAGCGAGGAGGCAGGACGGCCCCCGCGGGCACGGAAAUACUCUACCUGAAGGUGCGGAAUCGAAGGCGCGGCUCGGGCCUGUGCCCAGCCAGCCAGCGGGCACGGCUGUGAGCGUGUGAGGUUGCCGUGAUGGAAUGUUCUGCUUGGGGGCUAUGCGAUUCGGGUUGGCCCGCGCCCAACGAGAGACUAGGCUGAGUAAUUGAGAGGACAAGCAACGUGAGGGUGCGUGGAUGCGACCGACUCUGCUGCGCAUGCGGGUCCUGCGGAAGGUGUUGACUGUUACAUGGCAUGUCUGAGUUGUAGCUAGGAUAAUGACUGCUUGGUGAGUGAGCGCGUAGGUUGACGUGUUACGUGUGCAUGCCUACAUACAAUUGACCGCUGACAGAACUGUCGUGUUUUGGUUUGACUACGGUAGUGUUAGUGUACAUGAUGUCGCUACGGUAACACCUACGUUACAGGCGUGUCGCGGACUGUGUGUGGAGGGGGGCGGUGUGUGACCGCAGUGCCCGGGCCAUGGGCAAGUGCAAUAGCAAGGGGGCGGACAUUCGGACGCACGUGUGCAAGAUGGCCCAAGCCUAAUGAGAGACGGGUGAGAGUGUGAGAAGCAAGGAUUGUGCGUGCAGUGAGUAUGAGUCCAGCAGGUGGACAGGAACAGGCGGGUGCUUACGGCGCGGCGUGUGGUCCGAUGGCCCACGGCCAGUCGCAAGAGGUGUUAGCGGCACGAUCGCAUCUACAGCAGCAACGGCCAGGAGAUUGCGGCGGGCACAUACGGUACGCGCGGAGGCAUGACGCGUCAAGCUGGUGCGUGCGGUCCUUGUGAUAGACUGCAUUGGCAUGUGCUGUAAUGUGGAAAGUACCGUACCCAAAUAGCGGACCUCCUGGAUUAUGAGUCAGAACGGCUGCAGGUGCGAGCAACGCGGACGCAUGCUGGAUACAGUCACGCGAUUGCAAGUGCUGCCAGCGGCAUCAAAGAGUGUAGUGCAGCGGGAGCCCAGUGUCACGCGAUUGCAAGUAGGGACCAGUGUCGGGGCACGCGAGCACGGCAUCAGCACACGGUAUCGCGUGACACCAGGGACGCAGCGCAAAACAUAAUUACAAGACCUUUCAGGAGGCCGCGGUCGAGCGACAGCAUUCCACACCGCAUACGACCUCCAGCUUGUGGCUCCUCAUGCCGCUCCAGCGCGCGUAUCACGUACUCGCCCGCGGUCAUUGCACCACCGCCUCACCAUCCGGCACACAAGAUUCCCCCUGUCGCGCAACCAUGCUCUCCGUAGGCCCGUUCACACAGCCCGUCCAAACAAGCCACCUACGUGGCCCAUCACAGCGCCACACCUUGUCGCAUGCAGGUAUACCAGCCCGCAGUCCUGACACACAACGGGUUUGCGCGCAGGGGCCUUCCGGCACCGGCCAAGCCGCCCAGCGCUGUCUUGCCCACGCAAGGACUCAUCCUACUAGGCAGCACCCAGCGCCGCUCGCCUCUCCACCUCCGCAGCCGGCCGAAGCGCCCCGUCUCCCAGGCUCUUCCUUCAUGCAGCAUCUCCCGCCCUGCGCUCCAGUCAGCCGCUAUGGCCAGGUUGUCCAGCCGCUUCGCGCUGCGGGUGCGCCUUCUUCCGCAGUCCGCUUAGAUGUAUGUCGCUGCGAGGGGCAACACACAAGGACCGAGGCGAAAAUGUCGUAAACCGACGGACCCGCCGGUGUAGCACCGGUGUGAGACCAACCAGAGCCAGCGCCCGGCGCACAUCGCACGCUCCAUUCCUCCGCCCCGUCAACUGUACUGCUGGUUGAUAGGUGUUGCUUGGCAGGAACGCCGUGCCAAGCCAGCUGCUGUCCAAGCUGGAUCCAACAGGACGGCCUCCCCUUCCCUCCCACACACACGCCCCUCUUGUCCCGCCUCAUCGCCCCUUCUUAAGGCUGAAUACGUGUUCCCUGCGCUUCCCACCCUUUUCCUUCCCUUCCUUGCUUUUCCUAUCCCACCCUUUCCCGCUCUCACCAGGCAUCUUGCCGACGGACACCGUGUGCCGCUCCGUGUACAUGCGGCCUGCAGGCGCAGCAGCAGGAGCCGCAGCAGGAGGCAGGGGCGGGGCAGAGCAGCUGAGGCAGCGCAGCAGACAGUGCAACUGGGGCCGACGCAACGCACGCAGGGCGCCUGGGCCCGGCCGGUCAUGUCCUGCAGCGCCUCUCCCUACGCCGCUCAGGCAGCGUGCAGGCGGCGUGCGUUUGCACGCCCCAGCAGCAUGCCCCAGUGGUCUGCCACGUGCCAACUACUGUGAGGCCCCCUUCGUUCCCGGCGCAGCCCGCCAAAUCCGGAUCCAGAAGGACUCACCCACUCGAGGCAUGACGCACCACACCAGCGUCAGGUUCACGUCCCGCCCGCGCAGGUUGUGCCCGGGGUCGAUGAACGCGUACUUUGUUUUAUGGUUGGACAGCUUGAAUACCGCCUUGUCCUAUGGAAUUUGGUUGUGAUGUUGGGGCCAAAGAAGGGGUUGGGUUGGUUGGGAUUGGCUUCACCUGGAAGCUUAGCUUGUUCGUGUUCAGGCAGCAGCGCUGACGGUUCAGUCUCAGACCCUAAGCAAGGCCCCAGCGCUCCCUCAAGCCUCGUCACUGUGUAAGGUAGGGGCCUUUCGUGCGCCUGCAGCGAGAGCCCGGCGGCCAACAACGGCUGCCGCACCAGCUACAGCACGGCACGCAGGUGCCCCUCUUCCCCGCGUCCUCUCCCCUACGCGCCCGCCGCUUGCCUUCUGCUGCACAAUGGAGUCCCACAGCACCACCUCGUUGAUGCGGUUCUCCUGCGUCUCAUACUCCGCCUGAACGUAGACGAACAGCUGCUUCGUGUUCCAUGUGAACACGCUGCGAAGAUCGGCGUUGACGUCAAACGUCACGACCGCCUGCGAAGACACACGUGAGAUUCAGUGUGGCGAACCGCACUGGCAGUAUGCCAAUAAUCGGGUGCGGCGAGCUCAGCAUGGUCGGCCAAGCCCUUACUUGGUCUUUUCCGCCGUGGUGCUGCACAAGGCGCCGAACUUCCCGCAGUCCUAGCUUAAUGUUUGGAUUGGACUUAUGGAGUAGAUCUGCGCAGACGCUGCAUGUUAUCGCCUGUCCCAAGAAAAUGCCCUGCCCGAUCACUCGUGUAUUCGCGUCUUGCCUGUUGAUGACGUAAGGAUGCAUAGCACAGCUGCUACCGUUCCAAAGAACGUUACAGCCGUAUUCAGGCGGUGGUAUAUCGAGUGCAUUUCUCUUGCGACCUAGCCUACUGACUGAGAGACACCUGAGUCUCAAGGGCAGUAUAUUUAUUUGCCAACACUUGUACACUGUCCUGCUUUCUGGUGUCGAGCGGAUGAGUGUGCCAAAUUGGGGCUUACAUUCCGCCUGCGUGUCCCGCCUGCUUAGCCCCCCUCCGCGGCUUCGCCCACGAGGUCUGUCUCGCCUAGUCGCCUUCCUCUGCACCUCCGCCACUCCCGCCCAGCAUCAAAACAACUGCAUCUUGGUCACCGCUCCAUCGCAGAACCGAAUGACCUUGACGUCACGCUCCACCGGCAGCCACCACACCGACGACAAGUACGACGACACGCCAACCGCCUCCGCCUCUUUCGCACCCCCGCUUCCCCCCGCCCUUGCCCUUGCCACAUCGGCCGGCGCCGGCCCGCCCAGCAGGCACCGCACACUGUCUGCCCGGCACCGAGCCAGCAUAACGUACGAUAGCGCGCCAUAUGGCGACGGCUGCGCCUCGAAGCCGCAGGCGGGCAGGUCGCACUCGUCCAACAUCAGCUGCUCCAGGCGGGGGCAGGCGGCCGCCAGGCGGGACACCACGUCGGGCGACAGCUGCGUAAGGAAGGGGCAGGUUGGCGCGUGGGGACGGAGCAAGCAAGGGCACGGGGCGGCGCGUGCUUGGUGCAGUGUCCGCUUGGAGUGGUAUGGGCAUGGUCAGAUCUGGCCCACGUGACCCCUUUCCGUGCCCACCCUACCCACAAACUAUUCCGAACCCAUCCUACCCACCCCAUCCAGUGCUCACCUGGCAGCAGUGCCGCAGCCGCAGGUUGCUCAGCGCCCCACAGGUCGUAAGCCAUCCCAGCAGCGCCUCGCAGCUAAACGGCCGCCGCCCCGCGUCCCCCACCUCCCCUUCUCUCUGUCCUUGCUGUGUUCCCCCCUCCUCCGCCUCCGCCACCUGUGAUGCCGCAGCGGCGGCCGCACCACCCCUGCCACUGCCCUCCUCCACCGCCACCACACCAGCGGCGCGGCCACGCCCCGCCUGGGCCUGAACACGACCCACACGCGGUCGCUGGUAGCCGGUCUGCUCCAGCCGCAGCUGACUCAGUGCAGGCGUGCCGCGGCGGCGCAGCUCCCCUAGCAGCCCCACCGACAGCCCCGCCACGCCCACCAGCGCCAGCGUGCGCAGCCGGCGCAGGGGAGGCAGCGAAGGCGGCAGCGGCAGCGGCAGCGGCAGCGGCAGCGGUAUCCGCGCCGCGUGCUCAGCACCAGCAGCACCAUCGGUGCGCGCGCUGCCGCCGCCGCCGCCUGUUCCAACCUCGCUGCCUCCUGCUGCCAGCUGCCCGACCGGCCUGCCGUACAGGAGUGAGAGCAGGUCGUCGUCGUACAGCUCCGUGGCACUGCCGCCCACCAGCUGCAGGUCAGACAUGGCCCACCGCCGUACACAGCGCCGCCGUACGCACUGCCGUACACACCGCCGCCGCUGCUGUGGCGGUGCUUCUUCUUCUUCUUCUGCCUCCGCGGCCGCGGCAGCUUCCAACCCCUCCCUCUGCCCCUCCUGCCCCUCGUGCCCCUCCGCCUCAUGCCCCUGCAUCGCCAGUCCUUGCUGCCCCCCCACCGCCGCCUUCUGCUCCGCCAGCCAGCCCAGCGGCCGCAGCAGGUCCUCCCGCCGGAAGGGGCCCAGGCAGUGGAUGAGGUGCAGCUCGUGCAGCUGGACCAGGUGGGGAGAAGCGGGGUGGGAGAGGGGUCGGGCUACUCCAAUCCCAACCAACGGGGGUUGUAAUCGAAUUAUCGAAACCAUACCCAAUAAGAGGAGCUGCAGGGAUAAGUAGACGCAGAAGACACACCACGCAGGAAGGCAAGUCGACACAGGAAGGCCAGACACACGCCGCACGCCCCUAGCAAGCCCGAUUGCGUUGUGGCCCGGACACACAGGCGACGUGUCCGCCGCAAGUACUGCAGCCUUUCCGCCGUUGCCCGAAUGCACCGUUUGCGCCCUUCCUCCCUUCCUCCCUUCCUCCCCAUCCCCAUCCCCUCAUCUCUUCCAACCUUCCACCCUUCCUCCCUUCCAUCCCCUGCCCGCCCACCUUGCAGCACGCCGCCAGCAGCUCCCCCAGCCCGGCGCCCGACACGCCCGCCAUCUCCAGCCGCAGCGCCUGCAGGUGCGGGCAGGCGGCGGCCAGCGCCCGCAGCCCCACGUCGUCCACGGCCGCCCCCACCCCCAGCUCCAGGCGCGAGAGCACCAGAGAGCGGUGCGGCGGAGGGGGCGGGCACGGGGCGGGCGCAGGAGGCGAGGCGGCGGCGGUGGUGGAGGUGGUGGAGGGAGUGGCGGUGGAUGAUGGCAGGGAAGAGGAGGCAGAGAAGGCGGAGGAGGAGGGGUGCGUGGAGGCGGGGACCGCUGGUCUGCCGCAGCCGCACAGGCGCAGCACGGCGGCGGUGUUGAAGCCCCACCCCACGGCCAGGCUUCUCAGGCCGUGCAAGCCUGCAAGCUGCUGCCCCUGAGCCACCUCCGCCGCCACCUCAGCCCUCUCCGCCACCGCCGCCUCAACCUCCACUUCCGCUUCCUCCUUUGCAUCUCCCUCCUCUCCAGACGAGUCGCUCGCCGAAGGGGUUUGCGCUGCAACCGGUGCCGCCUCUGCCUGAGGCAGGCGCGCGCCGCACCCAGGAGGCACCCGGUGUGGCACACACUCCGUCGGAAGUGGCGCCAGUGGCGGCGCCGCCGCCGCCGCCCGAGGUAUCGGCGGCGCCGCCGUCCGCAGCAUCGGCGGCGGCAGUGCCGCGGGCGCCAGGUCGCGACAGCGGCUGAGCCCCAGGUGCUGCAGCCGCAGCCGGCAGCCACAGGGAUCCCUGGCCUCACCGCUGCCAGCCCCCACUGCCACUGCCACUCCCGCCGCCGUAAAAUCCCCGCCAGCCGCGGCCCCGGCUACAGCCUCCGGCACCGCAGUAAGCUGUAGCAGCGCCAUCAGCUGCUCUGGCCCAACGCCCGAAGAGCCGUUCAGCUCCAGGCGCUGGAGGCGGCGCAGCGCCGGCUGUAGCACCGUCAGCCAGUCGUCGGCAGCUGUAGCAGCCGCCGUGGUGGCCGCAGCAGCCCUGGAAGAUGAGAUGGCUGUAGCAGAUGGCCGGCUCGCUGUGGCGCUUGCGGCCUUGGCACUAGCGGUUCCAUUGGGGGGCAAGCCCUUGGCAGUAGCCGCACCCUUGGUGGCAGCAGCAGCGCUCUUGGCAGAAGCAGCAGCGCCACCACGAGCAACGCUGCUACUGCUGCUGCGGCUGUUGCUACUGCCGCUUCGGUUGCCGUUGUCGAAGAAGCCGCCCAGCUCGAGGUCACACAGGCGCAGGUCUGCAUACGGUAACGGGCAGUUGGUGUUGCUUCCAGCGCUCUGCUCAAACCCACGCCGCUCCGACAUGGAAAUGAAAAUUUAUUCGGCCCUUUGAUGCUUGUUCCUAACCCCGCUCUUCCGUUCUGGGCUUUGGGGAGUUUGGGAUGAGGGCUCUGUCCCCGUCAACCGCCCACCUUGCAAGCACUCCAGUCGCGCCACCGCCUGUCGCAGCUCGCCGCCCCAGGCCCGUGCCACCACCGCUGCCGCCGCCAGCGCCUCCGCCCCCGCCGGCUGCCCAGCCGCUGCCGCUGUAGCUGCUGCCGCCGCCGCCGCCGCCACGCCGCCUGCCCACCUGUUCACAGGUGGCAUGGCAGCCCCCAGCGCACCCGCCGGGUCUCUGCCACCCCCGCCGUUAGCUCGCCUGGAGGAUGACCCGUUGCGGCUGCCCGCAGCAGCCCUUGCUGCUACAGCCGCGGAUGCGGCUGCUGAGUGCGCGGCUACUGCCGCCGCAGCUAAAAUGCCUGGCGGCGCGAGCGGGCAGCCGGACAGGUCGAGGGCGGUGAGGUUGCGGCAACAGCCCUGUGUGGCAUAAGGACAGGAUCAUGACCAUUGUCCCGACGGAAAUCCAUACAGUUAGAAUGACAGGCUGAACACAACCGCUGGCAUAAUGCCAAGCUGCACCUAGGCCCCCAAUCAGCUGGAAUUGGAUGACACAACACCGCACACGCACACACUUCGCACGGACACGCAUGCUCUGUUGUUCUCUUGCCCUGUCUCUCCCGAACACGAACACCACCAAUCGGAUCCCCCACGCACCGCUCUCCCCAGCAGCCGCAGCUCUUGCAGACCCGCAGCCGCCGAGUGUGUGGCCACCAGAGUGUGCAGGUGCGGCAGCAGUACACUGCCGCCACCCUCGGGGGGCAUCUCCGCCGCCGCCAGGAGCGCCAAAGCAAGCGGCGAGCCUUCAUGGCUCCGAUGUGCAACCUGUACAGAGGGGCACGGGCCAAAGCCUCUUCAAGCCCUCCACCUGUACUGUACAAUUCCAUUGCCAGGUUUCAUCCUGGAAAGGCUUCAAUCUAGACCCUCCCAAAGACGGUGAUUCAAUGCUUUUUGACGCCGUGGAGCUGGUCAAGCGCAGCGGGCAAAGCUGAAACCGUAACCAAACCCAAUGCUGCGAGCGCGGCCGUGACCGCUCUAAUCACCUGCAGGAGGGCCGCUAGUGCCGCGCUGUCGCCGUCGGGCUCAGCGACGCCGUCACCAUGGUCACUGCCCCCCUCCCCCUCAAAGGCCGACGGCCACUGGUUCCCAACCGCCAACGCAGCUGUGGUCAGGGCUACACCCGUCGCCCUGCCGUACAGCCCAUGGUACGACAGAUCCACGUAGGUCGGCGCCACCGGCUCCAACUGACCCUGCUGCCGCUGGCGCCGCUGCGGGACCGCGGCCGCGCCGCGCGCGUGCUGCGCGAGGCGCGUGACGAAGGAAGCGAACAGCUGCACCGCCUGCCAUUGCGGAUGCGGAGAUGAGCGAGAGCCCGAUUUGAAGAGGAUUACCGCAGGGGCCGCAGAGGCAGCACAAAGUGUCUGUGGAUGGUCUGGGCCCUGGUCUGGGCCCAAAAGGAUCUGCCGUCUAGAGCUCCCGCACCAGACCCGAGUUCCAACUGCUGCUGGCGGCGCCUGCACGCUACGCUCAGUGCCCCUCCACCUGCGCCUGCACACCCACGCGCUCCCUGACACCAAACACCGACGCGCUCGCGCUCGGCCCGCCACACCCUCCAUACUAACCUCCCUCUGAUGCUCCUCCCGCCCGCCCCCCUUCGGCACGCCCUCACCUCUGCGCUGCAGGCUGGGCUGGUCGGGUGCGCCGGCAGGCACGCCGCCCCCGACCCCAACACCAGGCCACCACCUCCAUCCGCACCCGCACCAUCGCCAGCCACACCGUCACCUGGACAGCCGCCUCUCGCCUCCAACCCCACCCGGGCCCCGGCCCCCGGCCCCGCCCCCGCGCCCGCCUCCGCUCCUGACCCCGCAGCCCUGGUUCCAAGGGGCCGCAUGGGCCCCGACUGGCUCGCCGCCCCCGCGUCCGUGACCACGGAUUCUCCGAGCAGCGGGGGCACCAGCGGCGGCUGCAGCGCGGGCCGGUAGGUGGACGGCUGGGGCCAUGCGGCGGGGGCCAGAUGCGCGGCCGCGGGCAGCUCGGGUGCCAGCCACAGCGUGUGGGCGGCCGGCAGGUGCGUCACGUGCGUCACCGGCAGCCCCGGAACCUGCAGCGUGGCGUGGCGAGCGUGUGGGUGUCGGUGGUAGGCAGUUGCAGCGGUCGUCAUGCCAACCAGGGAUGGGGUGGGGCAGCGACCGUGCAGGUAGCGUGGCGGCGUGUAAACUGGGAUUGAUAUACCGUACGGGUUGUGACGACAGGGCUGCGGGCUGCUCGUACAGUCAGGAAGUACUCACCGGCCAAGUGCCGGGGUCGCCAUGCCUGCCCUUCCCACCGACGGAGGCCGGCGCUGCAGGGGCGGGAAGCGCAUGGUCGCGAUCGCCUGCGGCGGCGACCGCCACCGCCGUCGCCGCCGCCUCGCCGUCGCGCGGCGGAUGGUGGGCGGCCAGCACGGCAGCAUGGCUGUCAGCGAGCAUCGCCACCCGCCCAUCACUCAACAGCACCGCCGCUGCCGCCGCGGCUUCGGCAGGGGGCUGAAACAUGUGUCCGCGCUCGAGCCUGAGCCGCGCUGCGCCAGCACCGCAGCGUGCUGGCGAGGUCGGCUUGUGGCGGCUUGCGGCGGCGGCGGCGCCGCCAGCUGCGCUGGGCAAGGCGCUGGGCUGAGUGAAGGGCGUGUCAGGCCGAAGGCUGUGCGCCGGAUGAGGAUGGCAGGCCAGGGCCUGCGACGUGGGGUUUUGGGUCGGCUGUGGGGCGGUUGCGUGGAGCAAGGCACGCCAGUCGCCAUCGAUGACGGCUCGGUGGCGCUCCGCCCUCUGCCGCCAGGCCUCCAGCCCACCAAGCCCGGCGCCGGCGCCACCUGUGCAGCCAGAGUUCAGCGAGCGUUGUGUGUUUAUGCAGGCCAGGCGUCACAGUUGGAUUUAUGAGCAACGCGCAUGUGGGUCGGGUGCAGGAAGCCACGGCGCCGCCCAGCCCGCCCUAAGAGGCGGCCGCGUACCUUGACACGACAGGCGGCCGUGUGUUUAGGGAGAGCCCGGGUCACAGCAACGACUGAGCCGGCCGCGAAGCGGGACUUGCCUGUUGUAUCCGUUACCAGAAAUAGUAGCGUGUGGCAUGUGGCUGCCACCGCGGCCUUAUCCAAGGGCCGCAGGCGGCGCAGCACAUCGGCGAGUAUGGCUGUAGGGAGGUCGCAAAAGGACCGCGCCAGCACGCCAGCAGCCUCCGGCACGCACUUACCAUCUUCAGGCAGCAUGGCUGUUAAAGCUGUUGCUAUAGCAUAAUUAUAUCCGCAUCAUCGUUCGGCAACCGGGAGUGCCCCUUCACGCCUAAGACGCGCAAACUCGAAACCUCGCCAACUGCGCCCGCGAGGUGGACGUGAGCUACGCAUGUGAAGUUGAUGAAAUUAAAUGAUCUACGAGUGCAGCUGGCGCUGGAAGGGUCGGUAGGAAUGCUUGAUGGGGCUGGCGCGGGUUCUCAUCCAUCGCGGUUCUCCUUCUAUUAAUCGAGUCCGCCCGGCUCCCAAAGCAUUUGCUUUCGACACACCAACACCACAACUGUCACGACCAAACUACGUACUACCUCAAUUACAUAUCAAACCCCGCGGCGUGCUACCUCCUUGCAUUCGCCUCUCAGAGUUUCCCUGCUCCCGCCAGCGCUACCAGGCCUGGAUUUUGAUCCUUUGGAAGGAUGGAGACGCUGUGGCCGGCUCCAUACGCCCUACCGUAAGUAGGAACGCAGAAGAAGCCGAGGAGACACGCAGUUGGGCCGCGCGAAAGUCGGUUGAAACGCAGCUCAAGCUGCAUUGAUAGAAAGUAAUUUGUGCUGCAAACUGCGUUCGGAUUUGGUGGGAAGGCAGUCGGGCGUUGUCGGGGAGAACGCGGCAAAACUCUGCAGACGCGGCCAAGCCUUUGCGUGCUGCGCCCUAGUCCAGGUUCCUGUCUGAUAUCACGGCGUAUUGAUUGGGCCGGUCAGAUAGACAUAAUUGCGCCUGGCGUGCGCCGAGCGGGCAGUUGACGCGCGACUGCUUUUAUGCGCAGGCUCCAGUCUGCGGCGAUGGCGCUGUCCGAACAGCAGCUUGGCCAACACAUUGAUUCUGGCAGCGAGGAGGACCACAUCGCGGUCGUGGCGCAGGUCCAGACUGGCAAGAAGCGACGCAGUGUGAGCGCGGAAGAGGACCCAGACUAUGAGGACGCCGCGCAAGGCGCGCAAGGCAUAACGCAUGAUGGUAAGCAAUUCGGGGAGGGCCUGGACAGAUUCUUGGUGCUGGACCCUGCUCGCCAUUCAAAUGCUCGAGGGCAGCUCGAGUUUCCUUCCAGCUCUGACUCCCAAGGCGAUGCUUAGAAGCGGUUCAAAUCCUCUUUUUCUAUCUAAGGAAAUCGCGUUGGGAUCGUUUUAGGUCCUGUCAGGCGCAGCCCUGUCAGCUCCGACUGGGCACGCCACCGCCACCUGGCACGAACCACCCGGUUUCAUUUUACCCCCGCCCCACUCUGGCUGUCCGCUUGCCAACGCAUUCAGCCAUAUGCCAGUUUUGACCACUAACACGAUGCUCUCUUCUCUUUCUUUUGCAUUGUGGUGGCUACUCGUCUGUAGGUACAUCAAACAAGGCCGGCUACCGAGGCGUACGGCGCCGGCCAUGGGGCUCCUACGCCGCCGAGAUUCGGGACGCAGGCUGCGGCAAGCGCCGGUGAGCAUUUGCUCCUUGACAUGUAUGGAACAUGUCCUACUCGUUUCGCCAUGCGGUAUGCUUGUACGGGGAUUGUCCUGGCCUGUCUGGCCCUAAGCCACCUGCCUCCUGAGCCAGCGGCCUCGAAGCCUGUCGAGGAAUCUUGUGGGAACUUUGGCUACAGGUGGAUUGGCACGUUCAAGACUGCUGAGGAGGCUGCACGGGCGUACGAUGAGGCCGCCAUUGCGCUGCAUGGGCCUCGCGCCAAGGUGAGACGCGCUCGAAUGCACAGUUUCGCUUGUCUUGAUCUGGGUCGGAUGACUUGCACGUCGCCCUGAUAUUGCUUGCACCCACCGUAACUGUGCGAUUCAAGCCAAGUCCGCGCGUCAGUUAUGCCAGCUAUCCGAUCACAGCGUGCCCGCCUGCGAGCCCCCGCGUCAACCUUCAGGCCGCUGACGCAACCCCGCUGCGCCCCCUUUGCAGACCAACUUCACCUACCCCUGCCAGCAGCAGAGCGCCGCCGCCGCGCCAGCCGCCGCACACAAGGCCCACAAGCCGCACGCCGCCGCCGCGCCGCAGCACCACAAGCCGGCGCACCACAGCCAGCAACCUGCUCAGCCGCGCAAGCAGCCGCUGCACCCCCGGCAGCCGUACCAGCAGCACCAGCCCCCCCAGCUGCCGACGCAUCAGGAGGAGGAGCAGUACCGGCGCAAGUCGGACGACUCAGACACCUCUAUGACCGCUGCGCUGCCGCUGCCGCUGUCGCUGACGGGGCAGCUGGGCCUGCCGCCGCUGACGCUGCCGGGGCUUGAGGGUCUGGACCUGAUGGCGCUGCAGUCCAACCCCGCGCUGCUAGCCGCGCUGCUCGCCGCCACGCGGCAGCACCUCCCGGGGUUGGCCGGGCCGGAUGCGCAGCCCGCCUGCCUGCCGGAGCAGCAGCUGUCGGAGCGGGUCUGGGUCCAGGAGCAGCCGGUGCAGGGGUGCGAGGAGGAGGAGGACGGGUUGGAGGAGCCGGAGCCGCCGCAGGUGCUGCGGCCGGAGCAGCUUCGGUCGCUGCAGGUGCUGGCGGAGGUGGCGCACCUGUUCGGGCGCCGCGACUUCUGCAUGUCGUGACCUUCGCCGGCGUGCCAGGUUCGGCAGGGCGUUAGGUAGGCAGCCGUGCAGGCUCAGCCGGGGUGACGUGGGCGAAGAAGAUGGCAAAGUGAUCUGGGUCUAUGUGGUGGGGGCUUGGGCAGUCAUUCGCAGGCCCCCAAAUAGGUUGGGAAUGGGUUGCCAAGGUACUUUUCCCGUGGGGCAGCAGCUUGGUAGGCAGACCGCGGGUGGGUGCAGGCGGCGCGGCUCUGCAGUGCUGUGCCGGGCUCCCGGAGCACGCUCCAUUCUGCGCCAUGUGAGUCAUGUGCGUGGGACGCCAGCGUAGCAGUCUUACGGUGCGCCUCAGCUGUUUCCUGUGUUUGUCGACAGCCUGGCGUCGAUUGUACUUUUCGGCUGUGCCACGGCGAGGCGGUGACUGCGCACAGACGAAGAACAAGGGGCGAGGGAUGAGACGACGACAGGACUGAGUGUGUUGGGCAUGGACUUCGUGCGGGAUGAACUUAUCAGGGGCAGUAGCCCAUGUUGGUGGGCACAUGUUUGGUGCGGUACCAAUCAUGCAUAGAUGCAUAACAUGAGGCUACCACAGACACGACCGCAGGUGGACGGCUGCAUGUCCGAUUAUUUUGGUUUCGAAGCCGAAGCUGUGUGUGGUGCGUUUUGAGUGGAUGACAACGCACGCGAUAGCGUGCCGGUGAUUCUUGCCGCUACAUGGCGCAGGCGCUGUGCAAUCGGUACAUGGUGAGGCACGCUCCCGACUCAUGGGAGCUGAGAUGGGGACUGAUGGUGUUAAGGCCUUUAUACAUAUUCUACGGCAGCACAACGUCAUCAGGAUUAAGGCGAAUCCAAUGUGUGGCUGCAAGCGGCUCUUGACCACGCAAGCCACAGCCAACGAUUGACGCUUCAUAAGGAGUGUGUAUGGGUACCGCAUGUGGAUGAUAAUCCUACCGAGAGGGACUGUGGUGGUGUCUGACACCUUCGCAAGACGGGCGUAUGCGUGAGAAAGUGAGGGUGCAAUUAGUGAUGCCAGUGAGGUUACAGGUGGCACGCGCCAUAUUCGUUUCCGCCAACUUGAAAGACGUUGGGAGGCGAGGAGAGACAGGACAAAGCUUAGGCGACUAGAUAUACUGCCAACGGCAUUGCAUGGUCGGGCUCAAUUUCCCCUGCCACAAUAAUUCGUGUAUCUAGCACGCACGUGAGCAUGGCAUCGUCAAUGCAAUGUGCGGCUGAGGUUGCCUGCAGGCGGGUGAAUGGGCUGUGAUUACUUUUGUUUGGACUCCCCUGUACGCCCGCCGAGCUCAGGCCUAGCUCUUUCAUUUUUCUUUCUUUGGGGGUCCAUGCGUUGCUUGGGGCCUGAACGGUAUGGGCCCCGAAGUGGGCGUAGAGCCACUGGGGCGGGUAAAAGACCCCCGACAGCAACACGGUACAAUUCAUCCCUGUGCAAGGGGCAACACGGUGUAACACAGCUGCCCACCUCGACUGCUCUCAUGAACCCGACCCCCUGACCCCAACCACAGCACAGCUGCUCCCUGGUUCGAAUACAUGUCUGCGGCCAUUUCAUCUUCUCCUACUCUCCUAGUCUCGGGGUUAACCAAUGGCCUCGCCCCCCCCCCUCCCGGGCGCCGCGACCCACCGUCCAGUGACUUACGGUUAGACGCUUUAUGUCGGUGGCAGGUGUAUGGGUGCUUCGGGGCAAUCAGCCGAUGAAGCAGCCUCCCCUCGGUUGCGGACUUGAAAUCCGGACGGCGUGUGCCAUAUGCACCGCCGCCCUGCUGCAGAGUGGCUGCGCCGGGCGCCCGCCUGCGUCCUCCUCCUUCACCUCCCCCGCCGCGCACAGCAGCUGCAGUCCGAUUGCGCGGCUUGCAUCAUUGCAUGUUUGCUGAGGGUACCUGUAUGCGGCAUGCAGCAUGCCUGACUGGGCGCUCUAUGCAUGCGACAUUACAAGAAAGGACAGUCCGACCAAGCAUGGGUGCCCAGCACCCAGGUCAGGAGGGAACCAUCUCCGGCCCGAAGGGAAACCGCCCUCCCCCCAGCUGGCUGCCGACCUUCACCAAACCGUGCAUUGUUUCUGCGCAAAAAGCGUGUCUCAGCUGCUACACCGGCAUACGGUAAGUCGAAGUCGCCCUAUGCUGUCAAGGGACAAGAAAAGGUGGCUCUCCCUCGCAAGGGAAAAGUGGGCUGCGCCAAAGGGGGAAUGGUAGAAGCUCAGGAUCUUGCCCCAUGCAUUAGAUAAGAGAGCGUUAGGGGAGCAUCACGCACGUACUUAUGGUUCUUCGGGGGUGGUCUGGUGAGCAAGUUCUGGGCCGUCAAAGUUGGGAGGUCAGUCGUGAUCGGGUUUCAGGAGCCCAUCCUGGCGGAUUUUGAGAAGCGCCCCACAACCAGGGGAUCUAGGCAUUUCAAUAACCAGAGCUAGGGGCCGAUCGCAGCACCGUGUGGCUCAAUUAUGCAUGUUACGAUGUGCACAAACAAAGCGUGGGAGGUCCAUUUGCGCGUCCUGGCGUGGACAAGUCGGGACAUGUCCGCACAUGCGACGCCUGCACGCUGACAUGGCUGGGCUCUCAAGCUCCAGUGCACAUGAAUUUAUUUCAGCUGCCGGCGCACGCUAUCGAUACGUCACAUGACAAAGCGUGGAGCGGGGUGGGUCGUAGGGAUUUCCAUGAAUGCAUCUUCGAAUGCAGAGCAGGACUCGUCAAGGAAAGUCGAUUGGGACCACUUUGGAUGGGUUGAAGGGUUUAAGGGUUUAACCCCUACACGAUAAGUCUGUGUCCGUGAGCAUGAGCAUUUACAUGGCGUCGAAGUCCAUGUGGCCCCACUAACUCUUCUGAGUCCGGAGGCGCUUGAUAGCAAAAAGCAAAGUGUCUUCUAAAGCGUCUAUACGCUGUUUACGCGCCUGAGCACGUAAUGCCCGCUCCACCUUUCCAUCGGGGUCGGAGCCCCUUCUCACGAAGAUCCUCAAAAGCCUUCAGUUGCUCCUUGCGCAUCUCACACCCUACCCGGGUCAGAUACGGUGCGACAACGGCACCAGCCGCACGGACCUGCUGCGCCACCCGAAUGAGCGCGCUCCGCUCCUGCUGUGUCACCUCCACCACGACAUGCCACACCUCCCUACCCUUUGACCGCCACGCGCGCACGUAUCGUCCGGAGACGUUUGCGCCACUCGCACUGGCCACCGCCUCCAGAUUUCCAGCCGCCUUGAGUUUCUCGAGCAGCUCACGGCUAACCGACUUCAGCAGGACUUUACCCUCGUCGACCCCCCCGGAGCACCCUGCUCGGGCCAGGGCGCGCUGAGUGUCCUCUAGCGCGCAACGUUGCUCCUCCAUCUGGACUUGCAGCGCUGCGACCGUGCCUUGCAGCUCCUUCUGCCGCCGUUCAGCUGCAAGCGCAGCGCCCUGGGCCUCUGAGACAGAGGCGUGGAGCGCCAGCGCUUGUAGCUGCAGCUGCUGUAUGCUGUCGCCGUGCUGCGUGGCUGCUGAUGUUUGCUGCUCUAGCUGCCCAAGUGCCUCCUCCAAGGCCGCUAGGUACUCCUGGAUGGUCGCGAGCGCUGGUGUUGUGGCGAGAUCGAACAGGCGGGUCGUGUAAGACAGGCGCGUGAGACGCUGCAGCAGUUUCGUAGCGCGCUGAAAUGGGAAGGCCGCGCCAGAGUCCGGAGUGCCGAUGCUCAUCGCACUAGUGCUGGCAACCGGGCAGGAGUCCUGCUGGUCGCUGACACUACUGAAGCUCCCAAAGCUUUCCAAACGGCACCCAGGCCCACUGCUCGCCGUGCUCGGCGGCAGCUCGGGCUGGGGCGACGAUCGGGCUGAGGUUCCUGCGAAAGCGGCGGCCACCGCCCUGUCGGUAGCUUCACGCAUUUUUGCCUGAAAUGUUUCGUAGAAAUUGUGCUCGGCCAUGUUUUGUUAUCUCGUGUCGUGUUUGGUCAGGUGGCCACUUUGAGUCGUUGUGUUGUGUUGUGUUGUGUUGUGUUGUGUUGUGUUGUGUCCUGGGGGUGGUCCAGAUUGGUCGUACCCGAAUUCGGGUCUGGCACUAUCUUUCUUCAAUCCCCCCCCUGGCGCCCAAGCCAUGUUGGUGCAUGCCUCUUCAUCUCUUUCACAAGCAUAUAGUGACAUCUGCUUCCAUGCCGUGACAAUCUGGUCCGCUUCAGUCGAUGCACCCCGUCAGCGUCACCGCGGUCACUCCGGUACGCCAACACGUAGAAAUUCUGCCGCAGGUGUCGUGCAACACAGAAGCUGUCUGCACUACUGGGAUUCUGGGCGCGGUGGCAACUGCUGUGUUUCCCAGGGCUUUUUUGCUUCUUGGCCGCUGGCCCCUUCCCCAACGCAACUUAGCUGUGCACAGUACAAAAGCCGCCCACCCCCUGAUACGGAGCGACACGUGCCUCCCGAAACGCCAGUUACAGGGAAUGUUCCCGUAACGUAUAAUCCACUCGGUCCGCUUUUUCAGGCACGCAAGGAGUCGACACGCGGCUGUGCAGCCCGAAACAGCGCUUUUUGCACUCUUGCAAGCUCACAUGCGCCAUCUGCCUGUGCAUCGUUCAUUCUUUCUACAUCAUCUUCCGAAUCUGCUCUCCUGCAUGUCUCGUCUAUGACCUAACAGGCAUCCCGCGAGUCUCUGCAUUGGCGGCUACCACACGACAUACCCGCAUCAACACAACCAUCAACGGUUUGCAAGUAUUGCAACGUUUUAAAGCAAACAAUCAAGUCAUAGACGUCAAGAAGGUGUGCAUUCCAUCUGAAUGCAACACCUAGAAGUUCCAAGAGAGAGGGACGGGCAGUGACGCCCAUCGUAUUGUAUGUCCGCCCGCUCCUAGCCCGCUAACAAUGUACAUGGGAUCAUCUUGUAAUGAUCGACGGUCAAGCUGCUGCUUGUCCUGCCGCUUACGGCUGGGCAGCGGCGAACAGAGGGCAGCUGCAAAGCAGAAUGAAAAAUGGAGGGACAAGAUCAGAACCACAACCGAAGGCGUGUCGAGGGGGGGCACGGCGCAACCCAUAGCUAGCCAUUUCUACAUGCCAUGCCAACCCCAUAGCAGCACACAGUACUGCUUUUUAGACAUUAGGACAAGCAAACCUCAAGCAGUCACAUCCCAACUCACCAGUUCUUCGUGUCGUCAAACACGUUGCCCCAGCACACGCCAUCGUUGGCAGGCAGGCAGAAGUCCGACAGGGGGGUGUCGUUCUUCAGCUCCAGGCAGAUCUUGCCGCCAUUCGCCUGGUCCUUGCUCCAGUUCAGGGGGGUAGCCUUAACGGUCUGCUCGUCCACAGCGCCCCAGGUGGCGGACAGCCACUUGCCGGUGCCGGUCUUGGGCUGCACGUACACGCCGGUGAUGGCGCGGCGCUUCUUGUCGUCGGCGUAGAACUCGGCCUUGAGCAGGCUGGUGCUCCGGCCGCAGGGGCUGGUGGCGCUGUUGGGGGUCACCAGGGUGAUGCUGAAGCAGUAAGCAGUGGUGUCCUUGGUGCGGCCGGCCAUGCUCGACAUCGCGGGCGCAAUGGCGAAGGGGGUGGCGCCGGGAGUGGUGACGCACUGGCACUUGGGGAAGUCGGGGGUCUGCAGGGCGCAGGCGGCCGAGGCCUGGGCGUUGAUGCACGACUGGGGCAGGCCGGCGACGGCGUCGCCCAUGCCGCCAACAGAGACGACCACGGUGUAUCCGGCCAGGGCGGGGCGGCAGCCCUGAGUCACCAUGUCCAGCCAGAAGUUGAUCUGGGUGUCAACGAAGCUCUGCAGCUUGGCGCCCUCCUCGUUGGAGAAGAAGGUGGCGCACACCAUCACCAGGUUGCCGGCGCAGCUGGUGGACCCAGGGGUCACGGUCACGCCGAGGUCGGAGGCCUGGGUGGCCACGUCGUCCUGAAUGGUGGCGAUGUAGCCCUGGCACUCGUCGUUGCUGAUGGAGUAGGGGAACAGAACGCGGCUGGCGUCGCUAACGGUCAGCGAGAUGUAGACGCAAACCUGGCAAGGAGGAGGGGGGCUGGGGGGAGGAGGGCUCGGGAUGCCGGGCGUGGAGAUAGGGCAGCAGUCGUUCUGGCUGUCGAACAGCGCAGCCGAGCACACACCCUUGGGCAGGCCAGGGGGAGGAAUGCACAGCUCCUCAAGGGUGGUGCAGCCCUUGCCGUUCUUGUUCAUCGACAGGGUGAUGCAAAUCUCAGCACCGUCGCUGGCCAGGCCCAGGCCCAGCUGGGUCAGGACCAGGGUGGUCGAGCCAACGGGGCCAUCGGUGGGCUCGUGGAACGAGACACCGACCUUGGUGGGCACGCCGUUGAUGGUGGCCUUCACCACCUCGCCGAAGACGUCGCACGCCUCGUAGACGUUGAACUGUGUACAUCAAAAUGAGGAACAAACUCAGAGAACUUCUUGAAAAAAGAACUCACACUGUGGGUUGCUGGCUGCUGCGACUUUGAAACCGCGACCCGAUGCGCCGACAACCCACCUCGAUCUUCUUGAGGUCUGCCUUGGAGCAGCAGUAAUCGGUGCAGCCAGCCGGCACCUUGGCGCUCAGCUUGAAGCAGUACUGGUUGUUGCCCUUGGCAACGACAACAUCACCCAGCUUGUAGGCCGAGGGAGACUUCUUGCACUGGCAGUAAGGGAACGAGGUGUACAAGCCCGACUGAGCACCCUGGGCGGCCCUGCAGAUUCAGAACGAAGGGCACACGCGGCACGGAGUUACUGCCAGCGGAGCAAGCGGAGUCUCGGCGACGGGAUAGCCUGCUUGCAACUUGCUGUCAAAUCCGGUGGUGGCGCUACGAUCACUGUUACGCUAUGCUGAAAUCAUGAAAAUAGCCCGAGCAUGCUGUAAGAGCGCCGGUUGCAAGAAGGCCGACCGCAUUCAAGCUGCGCAGCGGACCCACACGACCACUAUUUACGCCGUGAGCGUAAAUGAUUAUCUUUGACUAGAGUCAGCGAUGCUCGUCUAUUCUACAACUCAGGAGCUUCCCGAAGCGACAAAUCUGUGAAACGCGCGGUCUUGCUACUCACGCAAUUGCGGCCGCGAAAAGAACGGAGACUAGAAUGCUGCACCUCAUUGUCACAGAGGUGGUUCAGCUAUAAAGAAAUUGUGAGGCACGCGGGCUUAUCAUGGGGGGCCCGGCUGGUCGAACGAGUCGUACGCCCGCCAUUAACCGCGGGCGCGUUAGUUUGGCGUGCGAUGCAAUCAUUCAUGCAACCGCGCCACUUCGACAGUGCCGGAAACAACUUUUAUUUUUGUGGGUAUGCAUCCGGCUAUUCGGUAGGACAGCAGCUGCGUUACGCUCAAACUCGGGCAAACAAUUGGGCUAGCGGCGUGAGCUUGCACCUCACAACUAUCAUCACACAAGUUAUUUAGAUACUGGCCUACCUUGGGCCAUCUCCAAAACUGCCUGUCCAGCCCGGGAGCGGCGGAGCUGUUUCGCCCGCGGUUUGGAGUGGCUUUACUCGUGCCGACGCAAGUCCUUGAUUUUUGCAUUAUAAAAAAAUUAUAGAGUACAGCUAUAGCAACCAACUUGGCAAUGGAGCUGCUGGCAUGGUCCAAACGCGGGAAGCUGGCGCCUUCUAGGCUCUUUGGAGCCCUGUCGGCUUCACAAGUGGCUGAUGCUCAAGUUGUGCAUCGCUUUGGCCGGACAAAUGUCUCCUAGUAACCCGGUUCACAAGCGAAGCGUGAAACGAAAGCAAAGGAUGCUGCGCGCCGGAAGCGAAACGUUCGAUGCACCUAAUUGGGCGCCAAGCGCGGAACCUUGCAGUCUCAGAUGCGUGUGUGCAUGGAAGGAGAAGGCUGGCGGAGGCGAGAGGAGCGGGGGCAGGGAUUGGCUUUCGUGGGGGGGGCGGGGCAAGUGGCGCGGGCGGGGCUGGGGGGGCGAAGAACGGUGAAGACCGGUGCGAUGGCACAGGGUAAGGGGCAGGUUGGCGUAGUCCCGAGUCCCGAGAAACAACUUACGCCCAACCCAGGCGCCAAUGAAACAGGUGAAGAGCUUGAGGACCCCCCUCCCGCUGUCCGGGCCUUACACACAAGCAGGCCAAGUGCGGGGGGAGCCGUAGCGCACACCAUAUACCGUACUGUCACUGUGCUCGAUUUCGUCGCUAGUGACGCCCCUGCUGGCUAGGGUAGCAAGGGUAAUGGGGGUGAACGAGCCGGUUGCUUAGGCUGUGCCAGCUUUCCCCGGGUUUCAUUGGGGUCACACACUUCACUGAUGCACAACUUUCAGAGCCAGGGGGCUGCAUCCUCCGGCAAGCAGACGCCAGGAGGGUGUCCCUGGCCGCAUGCGCUGGGUCCUGGAGUCUACGGUACGCGUUGCCGCACGCGUCGGUUGGCCAUCCAUUCCCCAUCCUUAGACACAAUGACUGUGUCAUGUGUGCACGUUGCGCUUUAGGCUCGGCCAGCGGCACCCUGGGUUGGGUGUGUGAUGGGUUGGGUCUCGGUUUGAGAGGUGUGACCCUUGCAGAAAGCAGGACUCUCCACACUCCCCUCCCGUGCUGUGCAUGUAUGUUCCUGCAUGCACGUGUGUGUAUGAAGUGAAUGGCUCAGCCAACGGCUGUGUGUGCAUGUGGCCCGCGUAAAAUGCAAUUUACCAGUGAUGGGCACUUCUAUCAGGGAGGGGUAGGAAACAAAGUGCCAGACCCCAUGCCCCGAAAUCCCCCGGGACCCCCCUUGAGGGGACGACCGACCCCCCGACGGACAAAACCUUGUUGUUCAGCGGUUAAAACCCCUCCAUUUAAUACCAAAGUAGUGUCAAUCGACUCCUCUUGACGAGCACUAUCACUCCGUGCCAUCAGCGGUCCUGUUCUGAGACUUCGGUCACGGGCGGGAUCCUAUCCAUGGAAAUCCCCUCGACCCAGACCACCCCGCGCUCAACUCUUUGCCGCGUGACGAAUGGACAAUGUGCAUCGGCAGCCUUGUUAGACGUGAACUCAUGCGCAUCAGCGCUUCAGAGCCCAGCUGUGUCAGUGCGCAUAUGUUGAAUGUGGAGACAUGUCCCGACAUGUCCACGUCCGGACGCGCAACUUAGCCCUCCCACGCUUUGUUUGUGCUUAUUACGUCAUAACGUACACAUAUGAGCCUCGCACUGCUGCGUUUGGCCCCUAGUUCUGCUUGUGGGGCGCUUCCCGAAAUCCGCCAGGAUGGGCUCCCGAAACCCGACGGACCCCCAGGGACGAGGACCGACCCCCAACUUUGGCGGCCCAGAACUUCCUCACCAGACCCCCCUUUAAAAAACUAAAAGUACGUGCAUAAUGCUCUCCUGAAGCUCUCUAAUAUUGAGCAUGGGGUAAGAACCUGAGCUUUCUAACCCCCCCCUGCCAUGGCGGCCACAAUGCCAAGAUGCUACCUGGCGGCGCCACGCACAGCAGAGCCCUGUGCUCCGCAAGGAUGCACACGUGCACACACGCACACACAUGUGCGAACACACGUGCACCUGCCCUCCAUGCCACUCGCCCCGCCCCUUCCCCCUUCCCUCACCUCAGUUAUGGCUGACUGGAUGCGGUUGAUCUCAAACAGCCGGCUGCGCCCCUCCUGGGAGCCGCCGCCGCCGCCGCCAGACAGGAGGUCUGGAGUGCGUGUGAGGAAGGGGAGGGGGGGGAUGUGCCCGAGCCCGAGGUCUCAAGCGUCAAGGAAUUGUUUCCAAACCAGGGGGAGGAAGCGGUAGGGGGGCGCGAAGUGUGAUGUUUGUCGGGGUAAGGUGUGAGGCAUUGGGCAUGGAGCGUAAGGCGGGCAUCAAGGCGGGUAGGGUGUCGGCCUGUGCGCUGUCACCCAAGCCACGGGCGCACCGUUAGCACGCACGCACGCGCACACGCUCACACUACGCACCUGCGGCCGCCUCCUGCCCCUUGCUGGUGGCGCCGCUCCCGCCGCCGCCCCCACCUGCACCCCCAGCAGCCGCCCCGCCCGGCACCGGAGCGCUCACCACCACCUGCGCCUCCGCCGCACCCUCCACCGCUGACUCUGCUCCUGCUCCCCCUCCUGCUGCGGAUGCUUCCGCUGGUAGCUGCACCACUGGCGUGUGCCGUGGAUGCGGUGGGUGCGGCGCCGCCAAGCCAGUCACCGCCGCCACCACCGGCGCCAGCGCCGCCGCCACGGCAGCCGCCGGCUCCCCUCCCGAAAUCCGCCAGACACCCCCUUAAAAAGUUAAAAGUACGUGCAUAAUGCUCUCCUAAAGCUCUGUAAUUUUGAGCAUGGGGUAAGAAACUGAGCUUUCUACCCCCCCCCUGCUUCUAUCAACCGGUUGUGCUUUCGGGGUUACAUGGAAGAGAUUAGGCUGGUGGGGCACAGUGGUGCACGGUGACAGAGACAGCCUUUCUUCCCUGUCUGGGUCAGGGGACAGGUUGUGCCGCCCUCGAGUCCGAAUCAAAUCGUUCUUUGCAGCAUCCCUCUUCAGGAUGCUGAGUGGAGUUGGUGUCGGUAGUAAAGGCCAAGCCCAACGCCCAUUGCGGCAGGGCCCAGGUGUGGGCGGAACGCCCGCCAAGAUGAGACACGAUGAGAGGCACGGCCGAUCGCGCCGAGUUAAGCCAUCACCACGCCCAGUGUUCCGGCCGGUUGUAACAGAUCAACUGUUACGAUCCCUGUUCGAGACAGGGCUGGGCCCUAACUUAUGCCUCUUACGAGUCUUCUAGUGAAUACGCGGUCACCCAAGUCUCAUCCGUUGGACAUCUCCAACCCCUUGCCAGGCUCUACAGUGAGUUAUGUCCGGGGUGGGCUAGGUACUGCUACCCCAGGGGAGAGCCUUCCCUGGCAGAGCCCAGGCCCUGCCGUAUUCCUUACCGGGUCGCACACCCACCGAAGUACCGAACCACGCGUCACGGUCUGGGAAUCAGCUGCACCCUACGGGACUUCACCAACCUGCCUUAACACUGUCCCAUACCACGCGUUACGUUUCUCCACGAUCCGCGGAACGGCGGAAACACGUAUUGACAUGUGUACACCCGCAAGGAGACCGCGGGUGGGUGAGAAUACUGCGCCUGCGCCUGAGAGCCCCGGGGCAAGCUGUCUCAUCCCCGAACGUAGAACUCAUAGAGUGCAGUCUGUGCAAAAGGGAAAGCGAGAUGCAAAGGACGAAGCAGGAGUCGUGUGACGCGUUAGCGUGGAUAAACGCCUGGCGGAUGAGAUCGGACAUGGCAACUUGGAAAUGGGCAGGUUGGUGUUAGUCCUGUGGACCUGAUAUACCCGAGCCGGUUGAGGGCCUCAUGUGCAAAACCGCCAGCGCCGGUCUGCUGGCCUUAUCUGGGUACACGCAGUACCGGUGCGGUAGCUGACGAUGCCAGCGUUAUUGACGAGUGUUGCGGAACUAAUGCGUACGUAGACCAGAGCGGAAGGCGGAGUGGGCUUGCAGGCGGCACGAGAGUAGGCAGUCAGUAGCGCAAGUUGCGAAUUCACAUGUUACCUCGUAACCGACGGUAAACGCUGCGGACGGUCGCGCCCAUGGCUGGCUGACGGAAGGUGGCUGCUGUAUUGGGAUGGCUGGGCUGGACGACGCCGGCCGGGCUGGCGUGCACGAUGUGCACAAACCGUUCCGCCUGCAGAUUGCAGAAAGCCCUGACGCCAGCUGCGCAUCCUGACGGAUGACACGUUGGGGGCUGUCACUCAGCUGCUGACUCGGGACCACCGUGCUGUCCCCUGCCGCAGUUACCGCCGCAGCCUGGCUGGCAUUCAACUUAUGUUGAAAAUUAUAUCAAUAUGACGCGUUCGUACUGUGCCCCCAAACCGGUUUACAGGGGCAACAGGCAAUAGCCCUGCGCACAAACUCCUGCUUCUCACCAGAGCUUUCGCCGUUAUGCACGGCCACGGGAACAAUGGUCCCGGCCAACCACAUCUAUGAACCGUGUCCGUUAGCCUCUCCUGAGGCUUGUAACCGGAACGCGGCUCCGCUGAUUGCAGUCCCAGGAUGACGCUAACCUAAGCAAACAGUCAAUGCGCAUGAUCAUUUACACACACGAGUGCUCUUAUGUACUGCCCAUAUUAAACACAGUCGAGUUGUGGAUCAGUUGCACGAUUCACCGCGCCAGCCCUCGCGGCGGUGCUUCACGCAAUCCGCAUUCAGCUGGUGGCGAGUCGCCAAGCCGCCCCCAACAAAACCCGCACCGCACCAAGUGCCAUGCCGUUUAGACACACGCGCACAACACUAAUCCUGCGAGGCAGUGAUCUCAUCUGUCACUUUGUCAACUACCCAAUCAAGCCAUUUUUCCGAACCCAAUUCAAAACACGCGCCCACGGGCGAAGCUGUGCGCCGUGGCUGUAGCGGCUGCUGCCUCUGCUGCCAACGCCUCACAAAAUCCACCCGUGGCCGUCUGCCACAUAAGCUCCAGCGGUCACCAGCUAUGCUCCGUGCCAGCUCGCGAUAUUGCCAGGCCGUGUGGCCGCAGCAGCUGUUUGCACAGCUGCCGCGAAGCAAGUCCGCUGCCACAAGAACUCAAACAGGGUGGGUCAGCCGCGCGGCUUCCAAGCGGCUUCCACCUUGUGUGUAUGGACACGCGACGCCUCGGCUGCUGCGGGCUGUGCCAUUUACGGCAGGCUCGCCUGGUACAGCGGGCAGCUGCGGGCAAGACACGGGAGGGGUGAGGAAUGGCGGUCAGAUACGUGACAACGUCGAGGCAGAUGUCCGCGGGGAAGUCCGUGGGCGAAGCCUAUUGAUUUAGAUCCCGCAAGACAACCCACAUUGGCAAGUACGUUGUUGCGAGCGUGUCAAUGCAAACCCAACUCACCAGUUCUUGCUGUCGUCGAACAAGUUGCCGUAGCACGAGCCGCCGGGCGCGGGCAGGCAGAAGUCCGACAGGGGGGUGUCGUUCUUCAGCUCCAGGCAGAUAGUACCGCCAUUCGCCUGGUCCUUGCUCCAGUUCAGGGGGGUAGCCUUGACGGUCUGCUCGUCCACAGCGCCCCAGGUGGCGGACAGCCACUUGCCGGUGCCGGUCUUGGGCUGCACGUACACGCCGGUGAUGGCGCGGCGCUUCUUGUCGUCGGCGUAGAACUCGGCCUUGAGCAGGCUGGUGCUCCGGCCGCAGGGGCUGGUGGCGCUGUUGGGGGUCACAAGGGUGAUGCUGAAGCAGUAAGAGGUGGUGUCCUUGGUGCGGCCGGCCAUAGUGGAAAUGACGGGCGUGAAGGCGAAGGGGGUGGCGCCGGGCGUGGUGACGCAAGCGCACUUGGGGAAGUCCACAGGCUCGGGGGCGCAGGCCUGGGACUGGAAGCCGCUCAGGCAAGACGCAUCCGGGGCCUGUGCGGAGCCGCCGAUGCCGCCGACGGCGGCGUAAGCGCUGUAGCCAGUCAGGAAGGCGGGGCAGCCCUGGACGCCGGUGAUCAGCUGCAGCCAGAAGGGCAGGCGCUCAUCGAUGAAGGGCUGCAGCUCGGCGCCCUGCUCCGAUGAGAAGAAGGUGGCGC